UUUGAUAGUUUACCAUCUAAAGAGCCAUUUACUUUAGACUUUUUGUGUUUGCACCUAUAUUACCUAUUAAAUCAUAUAUUUAAGCCGACGAUCCUCCAUCAUACUUACAAUGAUAAGAAACCGAGAAUGUUAAAAUCUAACUUAAGUAGUGGUAUACAAAAUAAUCAAUGAAAGAUAUGAUGCUAAGGUGGAGUAGAGAACUUCUCUUUUCUUGUUUAUUUUCUUCAUCACGGUUUAACGCUAAGAGCUAGUAUUAUUUAAAGAAGUUAAAAGACAUGCAUGGAAUGGAAUAAGUGAACGUAUCAAAUGAUAAGUGAAUUUAUUUGGUUCUACUCACGUUAUACCAUACACUUCAUGUGCAGAUCCAGGUAUUUUUCGUGCACGAUGGUUGCUGAUCUUGGAGUUUUAGCCGUUCGGCGAUUAUCGAGAUAGUUGUUUUGGAGUCCGCAAACCUUGACUCUCCUCCCCUAUCUCUCAAUUUUACUAUUCUUUUCUACUUUCUUAGACAGUGUGUAGAUGCUCAUGUAUUCAGUGACACCCGAGUUUUGGGAAAUUCUAUAUUGAGUUGUGGCAUUGUCAUCCAGUUUUAUGAUAUUUUUACUUAUUUAAACCUAUUUUAGUAUAUUUUGAAUUUAAAAAUGUCGGUAUGUUUAAAUUGUCGGCUUGUCUAGUAUCAUGUUAGGCGCCAUCAUAACAUGUUGAGUUUUAGGUCGUGACUCAUAUAAUAUUAUAGUUUCUGAUGGUUCUACAGUUGGACGUAUCCAUUUGGCACUCAUUUAUAUGUUUCCAAGGAAACGUCACUGAAAUAAUGAAAACGACAAAAAGUUCUAGGGGCGUUCAUAUUUUUACUAAACCCUUGCUGUCUUUGUUAUGAAUAUCGAAAACAAGUGGAUAUAGAGACUUUGUAGAAAGAUGAAAGAAUUUGAUUAAAUAUAGUACGUACGUAAUUCAUGAAACUAAAUUAGGCAAACACUCUUUUUUUCAUUUCUGAGUGCAAUUGUAAGAUCAAGAUUAGAAAUUUCCUGUGUCUCCUUUUAACGAAAGAAAUAAAAGGUCGAGAAGGAAUACACUAAAAGAACUAACCAAAUACUUCCUCGUUUUCAAUUUAUGAACCUAUUUGACUGGACACGAAAUUUAAGAAAAGAGAGAAGACUUUUAAAUUUGUGGUGUAAAAUAAGGCACAUAUAUUUUGUGUGGCUAUAAAUCAUUGCAUAAAGGUAAAUUAUUUCCAAAUAAGGAAAUAAGUCAUUCUUUUUGGCACGGAUCAAAAAGGAAAUAGAUUUACAUAAAUUGAAACAGAGGGAGUAUUGGACUUAGAGUUGGGCGAGAAUUAGAUUUAUUAACAACUUACUAUUGCUAGAGAAAGAAUACAAUCAAUAACUAACCAAAUAUUCAUCAUAGAGUUGGAAGGGUAUCAGAUUUUACCAAUAACAACUUAUUAUAUAUUUUAGAAUUUACAACAAAUAUACCUUUAUAUUUUCAGUAAAAUUGGGAGUAAAUCAGAUUUUCUCUUUUGAAUUUAGAUUUUAUUUUAGCAAAGUUUGUAACAACUUUUGUCACUAGAGCCUCAUGUCCCUCCUAUAUAUAGUAAUAUACUUUAUCAAUCACCAUCAUUCUCACUACCACUCAGCCUAUCUGCAGAGAUGAUGAGGGCUACCGACACUGAAGUGGACGACGAUGACGAUGAUGGAAUCCAAUUCUAGCAUGAAUCGGCCUCUUCAUGUAUUCUUCGACAUUGAAUCAAUGAGUUACCAUGUUUAUAAGUAAUUCCUCUCUUCGUUUAUGCUUUCAUUCUAUUCUUUGAUGUGUCAAUCUGCCUUUUUCCUUUAUAAAAUUCACGUAAACAAUAAAAGAAGUGGAGUCUAAUAAAUUAUAUCUAAUGACUUGUUAUUUUUGCAGUGUGCAUGUUUUGUGGUUUUACUGCAACAAGAAAAGACGGAAGGUCUGAUUCACAUGGAAAGAAAACACUAACUCUUUUGUCUUCCUUUCCUCCGAUGGCAACCUUGAGCUAUCUCGUCUCUUGUUGCAAGAUCAGCCCAUUGCAUGCCGAUCGUAUUUAUCCUUUAAAGUACGAUCACAAUUAUUUAGGAGGUUCAUCAACAUAUAAUUAAGCAACAAUGAAUUGUUUGUUAGUUAUUUUUUUCGAGUCCAUAUACAUAUACAUAUAUAUAUAUAUAUAUAUAUACACACACACACGCUCUAAAUUCUGACCAUCUUUUAUUCAUGUCUUCAUCUCAGGUCUACCACUAGCUUUUUGGAUGACCAAUCACAAGUUUGGGUACCUUCAAAAUCUACCGGAGAUGAACAAGUUUACAGGUGAAUCCUGAGCCUUCUUUGUGAGGAAGCAUGAAAGCUUCAAAGUAAUCAUGGUUUCAAAAAGUAGCAACCUUUAAUGUGGGAGAUAUAGGAAGAAUUUAACAAAAUAAUAAGUAGAAUAUGCCUUGCAUAAUGAUUUAGACUUGGACAAUCAGAAGGAAUUAAUUUGCAUAAGAGAGGACUUUUUUCUGGCCAUUAGCUUCAUAGUGUAAAAUGUAAACUGGUAUUGUAAUACGAAUUUCCAUUUAUUGUCUCGAUUAUUUAAAGUAAAUUCCCACAUUUGUAGCUUCAUCUUUUAUUUGAUAGUUUACCAUAUAAAGAGCAAUUUACUUUAGACUUUUUGUGUUUGCAUCUACAUUACCUAUUAAAUCAUAUAUUUAAGCAGAUGAUCCUCCAUACAGGAAUGGAAUAAGUGAACGUAUCAAAUGAUAAAAGGAUGGCUUUGCUACUGAGACAGAAGCUCACAUACAAGGAUCUGAAUUUUUUCCUUUUAGUUUAAAACUUACUCCUAUAUAUGUUUAACAAAAUAUUAUUUUUGCUAUAACGUUAUCGACUCCUGUAUAUAUGCCAUGAGAUCAUGGGGAAAUUUUGAUUUGAUGUUUGGGAGUUGGAGGGGGAAAUUUGGGACAUCCUUGCUCACAAAGUUGCAUUGUAUAAUAGCAAUCAGUUCUGCCCAAGAUUAAACAGCAAUAGCAAGGUCUGCCAGUUUUACAGUGAGCAACAUGCUUGCAAAAGUCUAAUUGUAUAUUUUCCUCUUUGGUAGCUUUCAGUUUUCUGUCAAAUUCUCCAACAUAAAGUUUGUUGCCUUCUAUGUUUUCCCAACCUGUUUGAAGAGAAAAUGGAAUAAAAGGACUUUAAGUGCCAACAAAAGUAUGAGCAAUUUAACUUCGCACAAGAUAAAAAAUAAUUUAUUAGGAAAGAGAGAAAACAAUAUUUGAUUAAUUAGGCAAGUACAACAAAUAAAAAAAGAUACAUCUCACAAUUAAUUUAUGAUAAUCUCACAAGUAGACUUUCAUACCAAAGAGGGUGGGAAUAAUGAGAAAGAACACAACAAACUUAGUAGGAAAAUCCAUGAAUUAAUUGUAAGGCCAAUCUUAGAUCUUGAUAAACAAGUAGACUAGUCUCGCUGCAUAUCCAAGAUGUGGACGAUAAGAAUAUAUGGGGAUGAAGAAUUUAUUGAUUGAGGCAACUUGAGGGAUCAAAACUACCUAUAUAUAUGCAGUACUUCGGCAUGAAUAGUAUAUGGACUAUAAGUAAAUAACCCCACGAAACCUCUUCAUGCAACAAGAGUCUGUAUAUUAAUUCCUUCCUUGAAAGCUGGGUUUGCUGAUAUAUAGUUUGAGUAGUUGCAAAUUUCAGUUAGAGGGAAUUGUGGCAAGCUAACCGCUAACCCUUAUCACCCUAAUAUUCCCUCGACAAGUUGCAAUCUAUCUCCUGUUAUUUCCACCCAAUUGUGCUGCUAUUCUCCCUCAUCCAAGGAGAACAUGUGAGAUAACGUAUAAAGUGUAAGGACAAAAACAUGUGAGAUAACGUAUAAAGAGUACAUAGAGAUAUGGUAUGCGGAUAUAAUAUCAUGACUGAAAAUAUGACUACAGUUAAGACAAAUAGUUCUACAUAACAAAAAUAGCUCUAUCAUGUCUCCAAAAAGCUAAGCACAUAGCCUAGACAAGAUUUCUAACUUGAAUAACAGCUCACGUAGUCAUACUAGUGGAAAAAAUAUGGAAACAACGAGGCAUGAUAGCAAAACAAGGCAUAUAAUAGCAUAAGGUCUACCGUGAUCUUGAUUAACCCCGUCAAACAAAGCUUAGGCAAGAUACAUACCUCAAACGAGGCAAUUCAACACUCCAAAAACGCAUUCCCUCGCGAAUCGACCUCCGAACGGCUCGAAUCUAGUCAUAUAAUACAUUGUGGUGUCAGAUAGUUCUAAAGGAAACAAUAUAAGAGAAUAAGGGAUCGAUUUUUAAUCAACAAGACAAAGUCAACCCAAGUCCGUAUCUCUAAGCCCGACAAAAUUUACAAAUCCCGCUUAUCCAUUCCAAUACGAGUCAAAAUAAACAAGUUUCACUCAAAUCGAACUUCAAAUCAGGGUUGAAAUCCUAAAUAAUAACUCUCCAAAUAUCUAGCACAAAACCCCCAAAUUUUCAUUACAAAUCUCAUAAUAUAUGUAUAAUAAUCCAUGGGGAAAUAAGAUAAAACAUCAAUAUCAAGUAGAAACUACUCACCCUCAAAGUAGUGAUAACAUUCUCCCCAAAAAUCGCCUCUAACCGAGCUCCAAACUCUAAAUUAUAAAAAAUAGACUAAACCCUCAAAUUAUAACACUCCUCAGUGAUUUCUACUUUUGCAGACAAAAUUGUCGCUUAUGUGACACCGCUUCUGCGGAUAGACACUCGCAUCUGCGAGGUCACUAAAUGUCCCGAUCAUAAGUUGUGACAAUCCGAUAGGUUAUUUUAAGUUCUAGCCCUUAUUUUUAUGAUCCGAGAUCUUGCAUAGCUUCAUUUGAUAUUUCUUGGUUUGUAUGCAUGGUCCAUGUCAAUUUUUCAAAAGCUUUUAUGUGAAAUUUUGAAGAAAAUGAGGAGUUUUGACUAAAAUGAGGCUUGAGUUGACUACAAUUAUCAUUUUGGGUAAACGACUCUAAAUCGACAUUUUGGCGAUUUCAGUAGGUUUGUAUGGUGAUUUUAGACUUGGGCAUAUGCCCAGAAUUGAAUUCAGAUGUCCAUAGGAUGAUUUAUGUUGUUUUGCCGAAAGUUAGCAAUUUUAAUGUUUUAUAAUUCCUAGGUUUGACCGCAGGUUGACUUUGUCAUUAUUGGGUUCAAAUUUUUAUUUUGGGACAUGGAAUAGUUCCAUUUUGUAAUUUGAAACUUGUCUGCAAAAUUUGGUGCAAUUCGGAGUUGAUUUAAUAGGAUUCAGACGCUUGCUUGUGAUUCUAGAGGUUAUUGAGUUUUCUUUUGAAAUUCAUGCGUUUUGAGGUCUGAUUCGUGGUUCUAGAUGUUAUCUUGGUAUUUUGAUCGUACGAGAAAGUUCGUAUGAUAUAUUUAGACUUGUAUCAAUGUUUGAUUUGGAGACCCGAGGGCUCGGGUGAGUUUCAGAUGUGUUUCAAAAAGUUUUGAGCUGUAAUAGGUUGUUGGUGUGCCGAUGCCUCAGGUGUUGCAAUUGCGAGUACCAGCAAUGCAAUUGCGAUCUUAGCAGGGAGUCUUAGGUGUCGCAAUUGCGAUUCCUAGAUCGCAAUUGCGAAGUAGUACUUAAGGUUGGUAGGUUCGAAUUUGCGACCACUUGGUUGCAUUUGUGAUGGGAUCAGACUUUGCAAUUGCAAAGUCAAUGUCGCAUUUCCGACUUCCCUUUAGGCUGACAAGCACCGCAAUUACGAGUUAUUCUUUGCAAUUGCGAGAGUUUGCUAUUUGUCGCAAUUACGAAAUUUGUGCCUGAACAUAAGGCCUGGAAAUCGGGAUUUUAGUAUCAUUUUCUCAUUUUAGAACCUUAGACUCGGUACAAGGCGAUUUGGAGGGAUAUUUUCACUUAGAAUCAUCGGAUAAGUACUUUUGACCUAUUUUCAAUAUAUUACAUAAUUAUACAUGAGAUUUAACAUCUAAUUCAUGAGAGUCUAAGAGAAAUUUUUGGGUUUUUUGUCUAUGUUUUGAAAAAUAGAAAUUUGAGAUUUUAAAGUCGAAUUGGACUCGAAUUUUGAAACAAAACUCAUAUAUGGACUCAAGGGGAUAUAGGUAGUCGAGAUCUACCCUUGGACUUGGGUUUUGAUCGGACAAACCCGGGAUUGAUUUUGUUGACUUUUUCCAAAUUCAUUAAAGAUCGAUCUUUUCACUUGUAGGUAGUUUCUAAAGCUUAUUUUGAGUUAUAUUUGGCUAGAUUUAACUGGUUUGGAGGCUAAUUUUAAACGAAUGGCCGUGGUUGAGUGUUGAUUAGUUUGCGGAAGAGGUAAGUGUUAUGUCUAAUCUUAACUUGAGGGAAUUAAGACUUUUUGAACUAUUUAUUAUGUGAAUUAUAUGGGGAAACAACGUAUAUGCAAGGUGACAAGUGUAUAUACGCCGUCGACGGAUCUAACAUGCGGGACUGUGUUAUUUAUUUCCAUGUCGUUAUUCCAUGUUAUCUGUUGUUAUAUGCUUUAAUUGAUGCAUGUUCCUACUUGACAUUUAUGCUCAACUUGUUAAAUUAUUACUUAACUGUUAUUUGUUUGAUUUUACUCAUCUCCCACUCAAUAAUUUGCUUGCCUGCUAUUUGUUCCAACUUGCCUUAGUUGUAUAUUUAAAUUGUCACAUAUUUUACCUACUUCUAUUAUCCUUAUGUUACUUGAUGUACUCUAUUAUGCUGUUUUGCGUAUGUGAGCCGUAAAAUUAUUCUCGUAUUGAUAAAUUGGAAAGGUUUGUGAUUUCGAGGUGUUUGAAUUUUCUGUCAUAUUGGUGACUCUUAAGUGUUCAAUACGUUGUAUCACCUUUUGUGUUGAUAUUUCGUAAAUAUUGUUAUUGAGUUAUUUUUGUUAAUAUUGUGAAAUUGUUGGGGAUCGGGUUGCACGCAGCGACAGUAUUGAAAUAAUAUGAUAUGGUACGAAGGAAUAAGGACAAAAUAUGAUAUGAGAUGAUACUAUGGUGGGAUCGGGUUGCACGGCGCAACGAAUUUGAUGUGUUAUAAGCUGUUUGUGGCUGUAUAGAUUGUUCUAAAUGUUGUGAUAUGAGAUCUGAGAUCUGUUGUUGUGGGGCCCUUUUUGGUAGUUGACCUAUGAGUCUGGUUAUUUGACUUUACUAUUUAAUUUCUAUUCCUGUUUCGGUUAUUAUAUUUCGUACUCCCUGUUUCGGUUAUUAUAUUUCGUACAGGUUUAUUGUGAGUGUCUUGUCAUAGCCUUGCCACUACUUCGUCGAGAUUAGGCUUGUCACUUACGGAGUACAUGAGGCCGGUUGUACUCAUGCUACACUUCUGUACUUCUUGUGCAGAUACCGGAGUUGGCCCCAGCUGCGUGUAGAGGGGAUCUUUCUCGAACCAUCUAUCAGCAGGAGACUUGAGGUAGAGUUGCUAACGUUCGCAGUAAUUAAAGUCUUCUUCCAUUCUGUCUUUACUGUUUAUAUGGUUUCAAAAGUUUCAUUUUGUUCAGACUUUCUCUGUUGUACUCUAGAUGCUCGUGCAUUCGUGACUUCAGAUUUUUGGGAUAUGUUUUGAUUACAUCAUUUGGUAUUUUAUCAAUCUAUUUUAGACUAUUACAGUUUUUUUAAUUAUUAUUAUUUUUAUUAUUAUUAAUAUUUUUAUUUAAAUUGUUAAAAUUGGUUAAAUGAUUUGGCUAACGUUGGCUUGCCUAGCAAGUGAAAUUUAGGCACCAUCAAAGUCCAAAAUAUGGGAUUUCGGGUUGUGACAAGUUGAUAUAAGAGCACUAGGUUAUCUAGGUCGCACGAGCCAUAACCAAGCUUAGUAAAGUCUGGAGGAUCAUACGGAGACGUCUGUACUUAUUUUCUAGAGGCUAUAGAGCUUUAGGAAAAAAUUCACUUCUUUCUUUCUUGAUGUGCGACUUUAUUCUAUUACUGAAGAUUGAACCAUUCUAUUCAUGUUCUCUCGUAGAUGGUAAGUACACACACGACAUCUAUAAUCCAGUAGGAGGUAGAGCCCCUUGUUGUAGUGACUACCACGGGUAGGGGUCGAGGCCGAGGUAGGGGUCGAGGCCAAGGUAGGGGCCGAGGUAGAGGCAGAGAUCAGCCUAGAGCACGUGCAACAAGACCAAUGGAAAGCCUUAAACCAAGCAUGAGAAGGAGAUUCUAGUUCAGACCGUACUAGUUUGACCCGCUCAGGUCUUGGAGGGAUUCAUUGCUACUCCCAUACUUCAAGAUGCCCUAGUCCUCUUAAUGGGCCUUGUGGAGAGUGUGGCCCAUGUCAGAGCAUUUCUUAUGGCACCGACUGUUUCUCAGGCUGGGGAAGGAGACUUGACUUCCGCCACUCAUACCUUGGAAUGGCUUCUUUGUACCAGACUCCGGUGGUUCCAGCAACGAGAGUAAUUUUGCCUGUGGAGACUAGGGAGAGGCCCACAAUGUCUUAGAAGUGAUUGAUGAGAUUGGAUAAUUUCACAAAGCUAUUUCCUAUUCAUUUUGGUGUUACACCUUUUGAGGACCUACGAGAUUUUUUGGACCUUUGCCACGAGGUGAUGCGCAACAUGGUUAUUGUGGAGUCCAAUGGAGUUGACUUUACUAUGUUCCAGAUGACCAGUUUUGCCAAAAGGUGGUGGCAGGUUAUGAGGGGAGCAGACCAUCAGGUUCACCGCCACUCACUUAGGGUUAGUUUUCACAGUUAUUUCUGGAGAGGUUCAUUCCUUUUACUCUAAGGAAGGAGUACUGCAGACAGUUCGAGUGUCUUGAGCUUGGUAGUAUGACCGUUACCCAGUGUGAGACCAGAUUUGUAGACCUAGCCUGCCAUGUAGCUAUCUUGAUUCCUACUGUUAGGGAGAGGGUGAGGAGAUUCAUUGAGUGUUUUACUUUUUGUAUGAAGCUACAGAUUGCCAAGAAGACUGGGGAUGACACUCCUUUCUAGAGGGCCAUAGAGAUUGCUAGACGGAUCGAGAUGAUUCGUGGUCAGGGUAGAAAAGUGGUAUAUAAGAAGAGGCCUGGUAAUUUUGAUGGUUUUAGUUGUGCCUCAUCUGGAGGUAGAGGUUCAUUUGGUAGUGGCUAUCCUUACAAAUCGAUUCACUCAGCACUUCAGGUAGCACACGAUGAUUCGGGCAGUCGUAGUUCUUAUGGGCCUUGUCCUAAGCAGCUAGCCUACCGUUCACCUUCAGCUCCUAUUAGUGCACCACCGCUACAAAGUUACUACAUUGGUUAUUAGGGCAAUUAGGUUCAGCCUCAACUUCAGUAGCCAAAGCAACCGAGAUAGUGCUUUGAGUGUGAAGGUACGGGUCACUUCAGGAGGUACUAUCCUAGAUUGAUGAGCAGUAGAGCAUCGCUAGGUUCUCAUGCCAUGGUUCUAGCACCAGUUGCUCCACCACCCACUAAGCUAGCUGGAGGUGGAGUAAGAUAGCUAGAGGUAAUGGUCAAGUCGUUUAAGGUGGAGGCCAGCCAACUAGAGGCUGUCCAAGAGACGUAGGUUAGAGUGGUAGGGCCCAACCCCUUUUCUAUGAAUUUGCAGCUAGUCGUGAGCCAGAGUCAUCUGAUACCGUCAUCACAAGUAUUUUUUCAAUUUUCCAUAGGGAUGCCUCAGUUUUAUUUGAUCUGGGCUCUAAUUAUUCAUACGUGUCAUCCUAUUUUGCUUCAUACCUAGUUAUGCCUCGUGAUUCUGAGUUCUUGUAUUUAUGUAUCCACGCCCGUGAGAGAUACUAUUAUAGUAGAUCGUGUUUAUCGCUCGUGUGUAGUUUCUAUUAGGAGCUUUAAGACUAGGGUAGAUCUUCUGCUUCUUGAUAUGGUUGACUUUGCUAUUAUCUUUGGUAUGGAUUGGUUGUCACCUUGUCAUACUAUUUUGGACUGUCAUGCCAAUACUCUGGCAUUAGCAAUGUUGGGGUUGUGUUGAUUGAAGUGUAGAGGGACUCUUGGCCAUUCUAGCAAUGUUAUUUCUUAUAUGAAGGCUUGACAUAUGGUCGAAAAAGGAUGUCUAGCACAUUUGGCCUAUAUAUGCGAUCCUAGUGCGGAGGUUACUUCCAUCAAUUUAGUACCAGUUGUGCGUGAGUUUCUAGAGGUGUUUCUAUGGAUUUAUUGGGGAUGCCACCAUAUAGAGAUAUCGACUUCUGUAUUGACUUGGCUCCGCGCACUCGGGCCAUUUCUAUUCAACCAUACCGUAUGGCCCCAAUUGAGUUGACAGAACUGAAGGACCAGUUGCAGGAUUUGCUACAUAACGGAUUCACUAGACAUAGUGUCUCACCUUGUGGUGCACCAGUGUUGUUUGUAAAGAAUAAGGAUGGUUCGAUGAGGAUGGGUAUAGAUUAUCCGCAUUUGAACAUGGUCACGAUCAAGAAUAAGUAAUCGGUUGUUGAGGGAUGACUUAUUUGGUCAGCUUCAGGGUGCCAAAGUAUUUUCGAAGAUUGGUUUGAGAUCUAGCAACCAUUAGUUGAAGAUUAGUGCAUCGGAUGUCCCUUAGACAUUUUUUGGACUCGGUAUGACCAUUAUGAGUGCUUAGUGAUGUCAUUUAGCAUGACCAAUGUCCCAACAAUAUUUAUUGAUUUGAUGAACCGGGUAUUAAACCCUAUUUGGAUUCUUUUAUGAUCGUCUUCAUUGAUGAUAUUUUUGUCUACUCCCGCAGUCGAGAGAAGCAUGAGCAACAUUUUUGGAUCGUACUUCAAAAUUUGAAGGAUAGAUAAUUAUAUGCCAAGUUUUCAAAGUGUGACUUCUGGUUGGAUUCGGUAGCCUUUUUCGUUAUGUUGUAUCUUCUGAGGUCAUUAAAAUGGAUCGUGAGAAGAUUGAGGUCGUCCAAAACUGGCCUAGACCUACUUCAGCUACAAAUAUUCAGAGUUUCCUUGGUUAGACAGUUUAUUAUUGCCUAUUCGUGGAUGGGUUUUCAUCUAUUUCAGCCCCAUUGACCAAGUUGACUCACCAGGGUGCUCUUUUCAGAUGGUCCGAUGAGUGUGAGUUGAGCUUUCAAAUCUCAAGCCUGCAUUGACUACAACCCCAGUGUUGGUGUUUCUUACAGGUUAAGUAUCCUACACCGAGUAAUGUGAUGCAUCGCGUAUUGGACUUGGCGCAGUAUUAAUGCAUGACGAUUGGGUGAUUGCCUACACAUCUCGGAUGUCGCGCCCCCUUUUUUCCCUUUUGCGGGGAAGUCCGUGUCUCGACAUAUAUGGGGGAACAAUUCGUUUCCUUUUGAGAAUUGGGUAUUUGAAGAGUCGCCACCUAACGGAUUAAGGUGCGUUAGGGCACCUAAAGUAAUUAACUCAUGUAACCAAUUUUACAUUACCAGAGAUUAGGGUAAGGGCUUGAAAUAACCUUGAGGGGAAGGUGUUAGGCACCCCUUGGGGUCCACAACGGUGGAUCUCGACCGAACUUAUACUAUGUGAGUUAGUCAAUCAACAAGUAAGCAGUCUUAGCACAUAUUUGCAAAUAAAGGUAGUUUUUAUAGUCUUAAUACAUAUAUGAUCAAAGAAGCUACGAUGGUCCAAUGCACAUAUAUGAAAGAAGUUUAGAUAAUUUAAACACAUAUAGGAAUUGGGAAAGGGAAGUCCUAAGUUGGUUAGCCUACAGGAUCAAUCUGUGUAAUGCCCGGUAAUCCUCCUCAACUAGAGGGGCUACACGUGACAUUAACGCGCAGAUCAUCAUAUCCGUUUACUACCCAUUACCCUCCCCUUAAUGGUUAUAUAAGUGAAUUUGGUUAAAGACCUCUAAGCAUGCUGUUACCCGUCCCUUCCUUGUGGUCCCGGAGGAAUUUAGGACCUCUAGACUUAGGCAGUUCUAGACAAUCCGAAGGUGUUUAAAGUGGAAAAGUCUAGGCGGCAACAAAUAACACAUAGGACUGUCAAUUAAGGAAGUAGGUAAAAGGCACAUAUUUACCUCCACAUAUACAUAGGCAAAUAUAUAGUACGUCUCAAACAGCUAAUUUUGAAGAGUUCAGAAAGCCUAGGAACAUGAUAUCUAGAUGAAUGUUACAGAAACAGGAUAUGCAGCGUUUGUUUUAAGGGAAGUGGCAGAAUCCUAACUAGUUUGCCUGCUGGUUUUCAAAUUCUGUUAGACUUAAGCAGUUUAUAAACAAUCAAAACACAAUUUUCAGUUUUAUACAAGGACAUUAAUCACCUAAGGCUUGCCUAGGCAUGGAACUAUAUGCAAUCAUAGUUACAGGAGCUGUUUAAACAAUUUGGAAUUAUUCAACCUAUAUGCAUGCUGAUCUAGGUGAUACAGAUUAAAACAGGUGAUUUAUACUAGUUUACAUCAGAAUAUGACACCUAUAUGUCAGGCCGUUUUUAAGCCUUUUCAUGAACAGUUAUUUAUUUAGUCGAAAUAGACAGGAUCUAAAACAUAUGCAAACAGAGUCCUAAGAAUAGGAUAUCUAAUGCACACAGUGAUGACUGUUUUUAUUAGGCAUGAUUAUUUAGCAACAGGAUUUUUGAGUGACAGUACUGAUGCAGAACCAGGAAUUGAGUAGUGAUCUAUAACAUGCAAUAUGCUGAAGCCGUAAACGUGAAUACCCUAAAAACAGGAUGUUUAGUGCACAGGUUUGGCAUGGUUUGAAUGCAAAUAGACACAACAAUCCUAGAACUUCUAAUGCAGAUUUGCAUAAUGUAAAGCCUAGAAACAUGAUUUCUACCUAGUUUUAAUAGUUACCCCAAUAUCUAUUUACAAAUGAUUAUUACAGAGAAGAAUUGAAUAAAUUACAUAAAUGCAAUAUAGAUUAAACUAUAUGGAGCCUGAUGCAGGCCCAAAGCAAACCUGGGAGUACCAGGACUUCAGUAGUCUCAAAUGCCAAGGAUUUCAUUGCCAAAUUUGUAUCUAGGUAUGUCAGUGUUUCCUAAGGACCUCAAGGAUCCCGGGCAGUGCUCACACCCAGACUUUUCAUAAUAGAGAUUAAAUAUGUAAAGUAUGGAAUGGCCAGCCCAAGUGUGCUAGAGUUCAACGGAAUCUCAAGAGGAUCCCAAGGCAGUACACACAUUGGAGGGGCAGAACUUAUUGACUUAGGAGUAAAGUGAGAGCACUUGGCAUAAUUUUGAAAGGUUUUUAUUUUCGAAAAAAAUAGUAUAGAGAUGAUUCCAGGAGUGAAAAAGGUUUUCUAAUAUAGGAACCAGUUUUGUGGUAAAAUAGUUUGAGAAAAGUAUUAAAACACUUUCGAAAUCAGAACACAAAUCACAGAACUACCAGAUUCAAAACACUUGGCAAACAGAUUCCACACAGGGAUAGAGGGGUUGGGGACACAUAGAAUACACAUCAGCGUAUAGGGAAACACAUAAACAACAAAAUGCACAGAAUUCUCAAGAGCUUUAUAGAAUUAAUAGGUUGGUCAUGACAAUGAGUAGUUGAGACACAUAACAGGGGUAUAGCAAAACCAUAUUGAAAGCAGGGGGUAUUGGACAAAAUCAUGCACAUAAUUAGGAUCAAUUGAAGCCAUAAGAGAUUAAGUAUAAUCUCAUCAGCAAAGAAGAGCAGGCAGGAAUUUAAACAGACAUGCUAGACAAAUAUCACAUAAGCAUUCAUAGUUUAGACAUGCUGACUACAUAUUGAACAAACAAGAUUUAGACAUGCUAGAUAAAGCAGUAAACAAGUAGUUAUAGUUUAGACAUGCUAGAUAAAGUAGUAAACAAGUAGUUAUAGUUUAGACAUGCUAGUUACAUAUUGAGCAAGGCAGUAAACGGGAAAAUAUAUUGGAUUCAUGGUUAAUGGAAUAGUGCAGUAAUGAAACACAUAGAGUUUGAGGUUUCAAAACUUAAUCAGAGACAUAAAAGUUAGGGAAAGAGAAUACAAAGUAUGAAGCAUGUGCAGUGCAAUAUCUAGCCUUGGCUUAUGACCGACUAUAUUAGUGAAUAUCCCAAGUAACAGAGAAGACAAGAGAGUUUUAGAGUGUAAGUGUGUUUAUGAACUAAUGUCCAUGUCCUAAAGGUGAGAAUAUAGGAGAGUAUAUAUAGCAGUUUAGGAGUGGAUCAGAAUAAAGUAAAGGAAAUCAACACUCAGCAAUUAAAGAAAUCACAGGAUCAAUUACACACAAAAUCAGCAUAGUCUUCCCUUAAUUAAGGAUAACUACUCAACGGUUAAAGUAUAGGAGUCAUUUAAGGAAAGAAAUCAAAUCAGACCUAAGUAAAGAGGUAAACAAACAGGAGUCUAAUUAAGGAAAUAAUCGUGAAGAAUCAGUAACAUUACAGGCAAUUAAAUAAGGUAAGAAGAAUAAUUAAAAUCGUAAACAAGGGAAUAAAUCAAGAAUCAACGCAUAAGUUUUAACCAAGAAAAUCAGUAAAUAAAAAUUCAAAAUAGUACUGAUUUAAGGGGGUAAAUAUUAGUUUCCACAAAUAGACAAAUAAGCUAAAUAAAAUUUCAUAAACACACAGAAAUUAGCCGAGAGAUCGACUCAGAAACCCUAGUAGAGAUGAACUAGGGUAAAGAGUCGCAAUAUACUGAAUUAAACUAAGGAGAAAUCAUGAAAGUCAAAGCACAGAACGAAACAAUGAAAUGAGUAACAUGGAAAAACCCAGAAACGAAGCAAAAGUAUAAGAAAAUUGGGGCUUUAGAAUAAAUCGACUAGGGUCCAAACAAUCUUAGCGGAAAUCAAUUAAUAACACUUAAGAACAGACCAUUAACAUUCGAAAAUCAAAAAAUCUUUAGAGAACAUGACUUAGGGUAAACCUAGUUUUAAGAAAAACAAAAAAUCAAUUGAAAAAUCAGGAAUCUUUCAAGGAAACAUGUGAAAUACGUUCAAUCGGUCUUAGAUCUGUACAGAUCUGAGAAUAUCAAAGGUAAAAAUUAGGGGUUUUUAGAUGUAUAACAGAGAUGAGGUUAUAGACUUAGGAAACCAUGGAUUUAAGUCAAAAAUGAGAAAGAUCUUACUCAAGGUCUAGCCAAAUGGACUGAAAUAGGCAAGAAAACCCAAAGGUGUAAAACAGACUUGCCCUAGUCCCUUGAGAAUCUCCACAAGGAUCUAGGAGAUGGAGAUACCAUAGUAUAUAGGAGACCAUCGGAGGCCUGAGGUGGUGAAGAACCACCAUAGAACGGCAGUAAGCUAGUGAUGGCGGGGGAAGGGGGGAGGGGAAUUAGGGUUCCUGUUAGAGAGCGUUUGACAGACGAAGAGAGGAGUGAAGGCGGCAAAAGGGGGGAAAUGGGUAGGGUUAGGGGGGUCUUUUGGUUUAAUUAAGGUAGGGGAGUCCUGGACUGUUGAUCAAAGAUGAUCAACGACCAGGAUUGGCCAAGGGGUUUGGGUCGGGCAGGUAGGGGAUUAGGCCUAAGGGUUUGGGCUAAUUUUAUAAGGGGUAUUGGGUUGGUUAGUUUUAGGCUAAAAUUUAAACAAAAGAGGUUGUUUAUUAAAUACUCAAAGCAAUUGAAUAAAAUUAAUUUGUAUAAUAAUUAACUAAUUAUAAAAUGAUUUUUACACAUGGAAAUGUUUUAUAAAUAAUUAUUUAGUAUUUUAAGAUACAAUGGACCAAUUUCUGGUAACAAUGAUGCAAAAUGUAUGCAUGGGCUAUAAUUGCAAAGUUAUUGCAAUUACAACCAAAAGAUGCUAAUUUGGCUAUUUUUGAAAUAAUUUGGACUUAAUAGGACCAUAAAUAUCAGUAUUAAAUCAAGAAAUGUUUUGAAAUCAUUUGUGAUGCAAUUUUUAAUUAUUUAUUAAAAGUAAAAUACUAGGCAAAAUUAAUUUAAAAAUGUAGAAAUUGUGGAAAAGGAAAAAAAACCAAUUGGUGCUAAUGCAUGAUUUUGAAGGCAUAUAUGCAUUUUAAAACUAUUUUGGGAAAAAAUUGGGUAUCAACAACUGCCCUUCUUUACCCAGAAAGGACGAAAGAGUUGUCGGGUAAAGAUAUGAUGGCCAAUUUUGACCGAGCCGGAUGGUUCAAGAGAUUUAGGCCGCACUCUGGCUUCUGAGCUGCCUACAUAUCCCUGGUUUUAUAGGAAUAAGGCCAUAUGUAGUUCCGGAUUCAUCGGCGGAAUAGACCGAUGAAGUCAUCGCAAUAACGGACACGAUAUUUCGGGAUAGGUGAAAGAAUGGUUUACAGUGAGCGGUCAAGUUUGAGGUAGUUGAAAGAAACUGGAGCGAGAUCACUCCUGCUGGGAUAGAGGUUGCUUACCGGGUCACCUGCAAAUAAAGAGAUACUACGAGCAUAUAUUCAUGCGGGAAUUUAAACAUGAUGCAGAUUCCCUUCGGACCAUAAAAGUUGUAUUUGGACGGUUGAGGAUGAUGUCCUUAGACUAUGAUGUCCUGGGCCAUGAAUUGUAAGAGAAGAUUCUCAGGCCAUUAAAUGAUGUUCUUAGGCCAUGAGGAUGGUGCCUCCGAACCAUGCCGCCCUUGAAUAAUGAUGUGCAAGUAUUGAGAGAUCCUCAGGCCAUGACAUGGUGUCUUCAGGCUAUGAGGAUGAUACCUUCGGACUAUGACGCCGUUGGACAGGUUGGCUAUAUAUUAGCCCAUGAAUUGUAAUAAUAUAAUGCUAAACUUAAUAAGACAAGGCCUAGUCUUGUGAGGUUGAAGGAAGAGCUUAGCCCAAAAGAGGAGCAAAUAGAUAGUGCCGGAAUAGAGCAAUAUUUAUGCAAGGAGGGACACUGCUUAGUCCCAUGAGAAGGCGGUGUUUAGCCUUAUGCAGAAUGGAGACAGAGCUUAGUCUCACGCAAGAUGCGGGACAAGGCUUAGUCCCAUGCAAAAUGAAAGGUAGAGCUUAGCCUUAUGCAAAUAUGGAGGAAGGGCAUAGCCUCAUGUAAGGUGGAGACAUAGCUUAGUCUCAUGCAGGAUGCAAGACAAGGCUUAGUCCCAUGCAAAUGGAAGACAAAGCUUAGCCUCAUGCAAAUAUGGAGGCAGGUCUUAGCCUCAUGCAAGGUGGAGACAAAGCUUAGUCUCAUGUAGGAUGCGGGACAGAGCUUAGUCCCAUGAAAAUGGAAGGCAGAGCUUAGCCUUAUGCAAAUAUGGUAGGCAGGGCUUAGCCUUAUGCAAUUUGCGAGACAGGUCUUAGUCCCAUGCAUAUGGAAGGCAGUGCUUAGUCUUAUGCAAAUAUGGAGGCAGGGCUUAGCCUCAUGCAAGGUUCGGGAUAGGACUUAGUCCCAUGCAGGAUGUGAGACAUGGCUUAGUCCCAUGCAAAUAGAAGGCAAAGCUUAGCCUUAUGCAAAUAUGGAGGUAGGGCUUAGCCUCAUGCAAGAUGCAGGACAAGGCUUAGUCCCAUGCAGAUGGAAGGUAGUGAUUAGCCUCAUGCAAUUAUGGAGGCAGGGCUUAGCCUCAUGCAAGGUUCGGGAUAGGGCUUAGUCCUAUGCAAAAAACGAAUACCAAAGAAGGGUAGACUGUUUCUUAGCUGGGCAUAUGUUUAGUGUCUGGUGGCCCGUCUGAUAGUGAUUUUGCUUUGUGUAUAUAUAUUUGUGAAUGCUAUAUCUAAGUCAGAUGUGCCUGCGCUCAAAGAAAAAUUGUAAGUUUCGUAAGGGGAUGUUGGUUCGUGCCUUUGUCUGCUGGCCCUACUCUGCCCCAUUUUGGAGGUCUUGUUUAAAUUUCCCUGGGUAACACCUGGCUGUUAUAGAAAUAGAGUUUUCGAAUGUAUGCAAUUAUAGAUGAAAAUAGAGUUUUUUAGAAAAUAUAGUGAAAUAUCAAGUAUUUUCAGAUGAACUAAUGACUGUAACACAUUUCAGAGACAUUGCAGCUUUCUCGUAUUAGAAUAUUGAGGGUGCCGCAGUUUGGUAAAUUAUCCUUUAGCUAUUUGCGAGCAACGAACUUGUUGAACCUUCUUCGGAAUUUUAAGAAUCCUUCUCAAAAUACUGCCGCAGUUUCAUAAUCAAUUUCUAACUUUCUGGCAUGCGAUGGCGUUGGCUGGACUUGCUCCGGAAUUUUGAUGGCCCUCCUCAAAAUUCUGCCCCAGUUUCUGAUCCUGGGGGGAAAUUGAAAUUUUAUUAUGAUAUGACCGAACCCACAGGGCUGCCUACGUAUUCCCUCUUAAACGGGAAUCAAGUUAAGCGUAGUUCAGUUACAUCUAAUGAGGAAAUGUAAAUGGUCUAAACACAGUAUCUUUUGACUACGUCUGAAUUGAUUGGUUUUGGCCAGACUUCUCCGUCCAUUUCUAUAAGUAUGAGCGCACCUCAUGUUAGCACCCUGUGAACCAUGUAAGGACCUUGCCAGUUGGGAGAGAAUUUCCCUUUGGCUUCAUCUUGAUGUGGGAAGAUCUUCUUCAUCACCAUCUAUCCUGGUGCAAACUGUAUUGGUUUGACCCUUUUGUUGAAAGCUUUGGACAUUCUGUUCUGAUAAACCUGACCGUGACAUACUGCAUUCAUUAUUUUUCCAUCUAUAAGGGCCAAUUUCUCAUAGCGACUCCUUAUCCAUUCUGCAUCACUAAGUUCAGCUUCCUGUAUGAUCCUUAAAGAAGGAACCUCUACCUCCACUGGGAUGACAACUUCGGUACCAUAAACCAGUAUGUAGGGAGUUGCCCCAGUUAAUGUGCAAACUAUAGUGCCGUAUCCUAACAAAGAAAAUAGUAGCUUCUCGUGCCAUUGCUUGUGGAUUUCUACUAUAUUCCUUAGUAUCUUCUUGAUGUUUUUGUUGGUGUCUUCUACGGCUCCGUCCAUCUGAGGUCUGUAUGUUGUAGAGUUCUUGAGCUUGAUUUUGAAAGUUUCACACAUGGCUUUCAUUAGAUCACUGUUGAGAUUGGCGGCAUUAUCAGUGACAAUGGACUCGAGAACUCCGAAUUGGCAAAUAAUACUAUCCUUGACAAAGUCUACGACGACUUUCUUGGUUACAGCUUUGUAAGAUGCAACCUCUACCCAUUUUAUGAAGUAAUCAAUGGCUACUAGAAUAAACCUGUGUCCGUUUGAAGCAGUGGGCUCGAUAGGCCUGAUGACAUCCAUUCCCCAGGCUGCGAAUGACCAUGGUGAGCUUGCGGCAUUGAGCUCAUUUGGUGGUACUUUUAUCAUAUCGGCAUGCACUUGACAUCGGUAACAUUUGCGGGCAUACUGGACACAAUCUGUCUCCAUAGUCAUCCAAAUGUAACCGACCCUAAGUAUCUUUUUGGCCAAGACAAAAUCAUUCAUAUGCGGUCCGCAGGUCCCAACAUAUAUCUCCUCAAGUAGCUUAGAAGCCUCUUUUGCAUCGACACAUCUUAGCAAUCCCAAAUCAGGAGUUCUUCUGUACAAGUUUCCUCCGGUAUAAAAAAAGUGAUUGAACUAUCUCCGAAGUGUGCGUUUCUGAGUAUGGUUCGCACGCUCCAGAUAUUCUCCUUUUGCCAAAUAUUCUUUGAUAUCGUGAAACCAAGGCUUCCCGUCUGUUUCAUUUUCAAUGUGGGCACAAUACACCGGUUGAUUAUGAAUUCUCACUAGGAUGGGAUCAAUGAAAUUCUUGUCUGGAUGAUGUAUCAUGGAUGACAAAGUGGCCAAUGCAUUGGCAAACUCAUUCUGAAUUCUGGGCACAUGCCGAAACUCUAUCUUCAUGAACCUUUUUCUCAAUUCCUGUACAUGGUGCAAAUAUGGCAAUAUCUUGAAAUUCUUGGUGGCCCACUCUCCUUGUACCUGGUGCACAAGCAAAUCUGAAUCACCUAUUACUAGCAGUUUCUGAAUAUUCAUUGUUAUGCCCCACAAAAAUUACGACGAUGUUGCACCAUGUAGUAUUCUACGUUGAAUUUGUCGUAAGAUAAUUGACAUCAGUUUAAGGACAAGAUGAUUUGGAGAUUGUAAAUAUUAUGCUACUUCAAAUAAGUGAUGAGUAAAUUCAUAAAGGUGAGAGGGUAAGCAAAUAAAAGAAAAUGAAUUUCGUCGAACUUUGACAUUUUGGGAUAAAAUACGGCCCGAGCUAAAAUACCCGGUAUUUAUGGACUAGUAUCAUACAAGGUACCACAUGGCCAUGGUAGUAAGAUGUAUAAUGUGUAUUAAAACAGAGUAGUAUUCUAAGUAAUUUGAAAUAAUUUUUAAUUAAGUAGGAAAUUAGUUAAUUAUCGGGUAACCGGUCAUUACCUAGUUAAUUAAUAAUCUUGGGAUAAGAUUAAACCCCUCCCCCAACAUGAAAAUUAUCCAUUUACAUGUAAUGACUAAGUAUUAAAGUUGAAAGGUGUCACACUUUGAGAAAGAAGUGUGUCACCAAGCUAGACAUGUGGGGCCCACAUAAUAAUUAAGCAUGAUUUCCAAAUUCACAAUUUAUCUUCAAUUCUCUUAAAACAAGAACAGAAUAAUGUUCUGUAUAGUAGUGUCAUCCAAGAUUCCUCAUCACUUCUAUUGACAUAUCUAUUCUCUUUAGAAAAGAGUUCACUGAAAUAUAAUUUCCAAAAAAAAACCCAAACGGUACUACUAAGUUCUUACGGAAAAGCUUUGCCAAGAUUAUCUUUGCAUAGCAACAUUAUUGCUUCGGGUAUUUCAUACGAAUUGUUCCCUAUUUCGAUCUCGUUGUUAUGUGUUUUGUCGCAAUUGGCGUGCGUUAGAAGGAUUGUCUAGAGGAUCAGCUCAGGUAUGUUAAGGCUAUCCCUUCUUUCUUUUGUCAUGAUCCAUACGAUACGAACGAAACGUGCAAAUGCACAAAUUCCAUGAAUGACUCUAUUCAUAGAAGUAUUAGAGAUAUCUAUGUUCUUGAAUUUCCAUGUAUCAUAAUAUUUUACCAUUUGUUCAUGGGUCUCAGAAAAAUAUGAAAGUUGAAAAGAGUUUACUUUAUGAUAUUACUAAAAGGUAAAAUGGUCUUAUGAUGCUCCGAAAGAUUUUAUUAACGUACUUUUCAUGCAUUGCAUUCAUGUGCAUUGACCCAUGACCAGAUGGCGUUAUAUAUGCAUAUAUAUAUGUAUAUGGGAUAUGGGAAAGGUUAUGAUGUUAUAUACGCACCACCACCUGAUCAGCUAGUAAAUGAUGAUGAUGUUGCCCACAAUGGCUGAAAAAUGAUUUAAACGGCGUUAUACACGCAUAUAUAUGUAUGUAUAUGAAUAUGGAAUAUGGGAAGAAAUUAUGGCGUUAUAUACGCACCACCACCUGAUCAGCUGGUAUACGAUAAUGAUUUUGCCCACAGUGGAAGAUAUGAUAUGAUGGGAUGCCCUCAGAGGCUAAUGAUGUUAUGAAACAUGUACCUAUGAACGCCAUGACAUUUAUACGCAUAUGCAUGAUGCUAAAUGUAAUUUAUGAUUUACAAAGUUAUUCAGACUUACAGGUUGAGUCAUGUACUCUAUAUUUCUUCCAUGUCUCUUAUGUAUUUAUUUAUGUUCCUUACAUACUCGGUACAUUAUUCGUACUGACAUCCCUUUUUCCUAGGGACGCUGCAUUUCAUGCUCACAGGUCCUGAUAGACAGGUCGAAAGACCUCCAUGUAGGCUAUCAACUCAACUGAAGAUGUUGGUGCUCUCCAUUUGCUUCGAAGUUGCUCGUUUGGUUAGUAUGAUUUAGACGUGUAUUGUUUGGUAUGGCAGGACUCUGUCUCGACCUUUAUGAUAUCUAUGUAUUCUUAGAGGCUUGUAGACAUAUGUCGUGUACAUAAAAGAUUGUACGGUCUUGUCGGCAUAUGUUUUGAGUUUAUAAAUGAUUAUCUUGGCAUAUUAGGCUCGUAUGUCACGUGUAUAUGAAGAUGUAAUAAGAAAGAUACAUUAUGUUGGUACUCGGUUGAGUAAGGUACCGGGUGCCCGUUGCGGUCCAUCGGUUUGGGUCGUGACAAAAGUGGUAAUAGAGCAGUUCUUUCCUAGGGAGUCUACAAGCCGUGUCUAGUAGAGUCUUGUUUAUGGGUGUGUCGUGCACCGCACUUAUAAGCAGGAGGCUAUAGGGCAUUUACGGAUGUCACUCUUUCUUCUUACUCUAGAUUGUGUGGUAGAGCUUAGUUGUAAGAACUCAAUUUUGUAAACUUUAUCUUAUUCGUAAUACAAUGAUGCGUACAUCCAAAAAGACGGUUGGUAAGAGAUAUAGCUGUGGAAGAGUUGAGUUAGAGGAGCUCGAGUUUGCAUCAUUCCUAUGAUGGAUAAAUGUGAGGUCUUUAGCAAAACAUGUGUGUACCUUACGUGUAAGCUUCUUGAUAAGGAGCCUUAAGGCAAGAAUAUCUAUCCACCUCUAUGGUGAAAGGCAAUAAGAGAUUCACAAGACAGAUACAAGUUUCAACAAGUAAAAGGAGCAAUAUGAGAAGGGUAUGAGGUACCCAGUUAAUGAAGAUUAUCGGUAUUUUCAACUCCGGUAGAAAAGUAUAAGCAUUGUGACUUACAUUCAACAUUAACAGAUGUAUGUAGAAUUGGCCACACCCAUCUCAGUUAUACCCUAUUGGGGACUAACAUGUGUAGUUUAAGAAAAAGACAGGAUAUUAGGAUCCGACUGGGAUUAGGGUAACCCAAAAUGGUAAAUGGAUUGUCUGUGUUAGUUGACAUUUCCGAAGGAUAUUACAAAGGUGUUAAUAGAUCUCUUUGUGAGGCACCCAGAUGGUGCACUCUAGAAUAUUAUAAUUAGAUGUGGAUAUAAGCAUGAAAAAGAAAUUAGAAGAAAGGAACGGAAAGCCUAGAAGGGAUAAAUAUUACCUUAGUAUGGCUCGCGUCUCUAGUAGAGCGAGAAUGUUAAGCAACCCGAAGAGACACUGGAUGGAGCAAUGGGAGCUUAAUGCAAAAAAAAUUGUCUUGUUCUAGUUUUCAGAAUAGAGUGAUAGACAUAAAUGUUAGCAGAAAAUAAGAAAAGAGUUAAUGAAGCAUUAUGAGUAAGAUAUGAUACAUAGAUGACAAUGGUAGAUCGAAAAGAUGACAGUAUUACAGAGUCUACAGUCAAUUGAAGGAAGACGAGAGGUGACAGGCCUUGAGAUAACAAAAGAGUAUAGGCUAUAAAGUUAUAUCCUCAUUUUGUGAAAUAAGUUCGCGACUCUAACGUGAUUAACAAAAGGAAAAGUUAGAUCCUAGAGUAACAGAAACCAGUAUGGAUUGGUGAACAAGAUAAAUUAAACAUGAAUUAGGGACUGAGCGAUUUGAUAAUAGUCGACAUUAUGAGAAAUUCAGAUUUCGUUCCGACAAUAGUAGAAUAGACAAUAGAAGAAGAUUCAGGAGAAAUUCAUAGAAUGGUUAUUCAGGAAGAUGUUUCCCUAAUGCAAGUAGUGUGAGCAAAGUUAAUCUUAACGGACUGUAUGUACCAAUUACAUUAAGUGUCACCCUUGCGAUCAAGGAAUUUUAUUAUCCUUGGUACAAAAGGAUUAUCGCAAGGCAAGUAAGGGUCAUUGACAAUGUAAAAAGAUGCCAGAUAUGAAAAGGUAAAAUAUCUAUAUGUAGAUAAUCAUAACACUAAAUCUUAGUACUCCCUUAAAGGGGGGAAUAUGGAGUAAUGUGGCAUUAAGACAGAAUUAAGUUGUUCUAGUAACUAUGGAAUGGUAAAGGAAGAGUGUGAUAAAAAUGAGAAAGGAAUGAGAUUGCACUUAUCCAAAUCCUAUAGAUGUUCUAUGAUUCCAGAACAUUAUGUAAGUACUACGUCAGAAAAUGAAGUAAGGGUUCCUGCCCGGAAGGUUACUACUAAAUAAGGAGCCUGUGCAAGAGGUAAGUUAGACAAAGGAAAUAACCCAAGAGAGAUUACGUGGAAUAUGGAUAUGAGAAUGGGCCGACGAGUAGUUGGUAGUUGAUUUAGGGAGAGCCUAGUCAUGACUAGACAAGAAGUUACAGACAAAUCAACAGAUCAUGCAAGAUAAAUGUAGUAAACCCCAACAUAGAGAAUUCAGUCUCGCUGUAAUGUCAUUAUAAUACUUGAGAUAUAUUCAAAUAGGAGUCGGGAUAGUUAAAGAUACCUUAUGAAUAUUACAGGAAUAAAACAUAGUGCCACUGGGAAGAUAGUCAAAUAUCAUUUCAGAAGCAACCCUACAAGCAUAAGGGUGUGGAUGUAAGUAACUACGGAUAAUUGUAGGCAAGGAAGGACGUCAAAUAUUUUAUUGGGUAUACAAUGUAAUAAGCUCACAACUUUAUAAGAGUCAGAGGGUCCUCCUUAAGUACUACAGUGAAAGACUAGCUGAGGAAAUGAGGAAGAAGGUUCAACCUAAGCACAAUGACCUAAAGAGGAAAUGGUCUUGUAACAACAGUUUCACAACAACAUUGUACAUCCUCCAUAAGAAAGAGCAACCUACCGUGGCUAGUGAACGGAAAGUAAAAUACAAAGCAAUAUUCGAAGAUCAUAUGAGUUGUACAAAAAUUCUGGCAUACGUGAGAGCUAAGAUAAGCUAAGUAUGCACCCAACAAGGGGAAAGAAAGACUAGGAAAGGUAAUGGCUUACGUUUAAAAAAAACCAAGAAGGAACAAAAGAAUCAUUUGAUCAAUGAUCCAGAGUUGGUUACGUUAUGAACGCACUUAAGAGUUCGUAGUAUUUUCCAUGCAGCACAUAUGUUGACAAUUAUACAGCCGUAGAAGAUUCUGGUAUAAGUUAAAAAAAGAAUUGAGCCCCAAUUAUAUACAAAGGAAUGAAUUAUUAGAAGAUUGUAUCAUGGAUAUUCCAUAGAGUCCAUGGAGGGCUAAAGUAAUAACUAAUACCAUGAGCCACAAAUUGGAAGAUAACUUAAGCCAACACAAGGCCGAUCAAAAGAAGGAGGAAACUAAAGAGUUACAUCAAUGAAGUAAAUCAGGAAUCUGAUUAUUAGACCCAAAAAUUGUAGAAAACGUGAUUGAGAACAUUACAGGAUCACUCUUAAUCAGAGGUACAAGAUAGGAAGUACAAUAGCCAUAUUCUAUAACAACCUUACGAUAAAGCUAGUUGGAAAAGUACAGGCCUCAUAAGAAGUUAGUACCAAGCUCCCACCGAAUUGUGUAUGCACAGUGUUAUAAUAAGAGCUUCAAGUUAUGGCUGUGGAUUAUACCUAUGUGGAAGGGAGGUUAUGAAAGAGAUAGAAAAAUGCGAAAUAAUAUUUUAAGGUAAGUAAGGAAAAGGUGAACAACGUAUAAGAUACUCAAAUGUAGAAGGCUAUGAAUAGUCCAUACUGCGGAUAAGAGUCUAGAAGCGCGGGGAUUUGGUAUCCAGGAAUGAUAGCAGCAUCUUCAGUGGCAUACCUUUUAGCCUAUGGUUUCUAAGUACCGAAAAGUCUAAUUAGAGAGUUAAAGAAGAGUUGGAGAUGAUGUGAUGUCUCGAUUGUCCAGAAGAGCAUAAGGAAAUCGAUCGCAAGCUAAAGUAUAAUAGAACGACAAGGUUUUAGAAAGACAAUAGUAGGGAUAAGAAGAAGGCAAGUGAGAAGGUGACGAAAAUGGAUAAGUCCUCGGAACUAAUCCCGUGAAAACAAAGGAGCAGAUUGUUUCUUUAAUUUAUUGAAAGUUCAGUAUAGCCUAAACGAACUCAAAAGAGUCUAAGACUAAUAGCAUUUAGAAUAGAAAGUAUGUUGCCCUAGUAAGAGAAUAAGGGUGUAAUUAUGGUAGGUAAAGGAUGAUGUUUGGGCCUUCCAUUGAGUUAUAAUUUGAAAAGAAAUGGGGAUUUCAUGAGUUGUACAGGGUUAGAAUAACCCACAAAGGAUGAAUCACAUUGGGAUACUAUGAAAUACGGCUAUAGAAGUAUAGUACCGUCCCCAGGUGGAUUAGUCUGAUCACUUCAAAUAUCCCCCGAUGAUACAUAAGCCUUGGUGACAAGGUAUUACGUAAUAGGUUUCAAAUUAUCUAUAGUAGAUUGCAGAUCAACAUUUAGGUGAAUCAAUAAUAGAUGGAUAAAAGUUACAAAGUAUGAGAUAAGAUUAGGCAAUUGAAUAGUAAGGAAAAAGCAUUAAAGAUUUUAGUUGCAUGUUGGAUAAGCAACAAGAAUAACCAGGAUUUUGGUAGCAGACCUCAGUGACGAUAAGUCGAAGUAAGAGUUAUGGUAUAGUAUGAUCAUGCAGAUGGAUAUCCGGGUCUAUGAAAUAAGAUAAAGCAAUAUUCAUAAAUUCGACAAAGUACCGAUCAAAUAACUUUAGUAUACCUACAAAUGUCUAGAGGGACACUUCAUCAAGCUCUGUAUAUGUUUGCGAAGUGAGGCCUAGAGAUUGGCUAGAAGCUAGAGGAGAAAGGGGAGAAAAGUCGCAUAUGCGCACAUACAAAGUCAAAGUCGUACAGGCUACAUGAUAAAAGGUAGUAACAGUUACUAGAUUGAAAAGAUCUCGACCACAAGUUGUGGUAUGAGAAAGAGGCCUAAAGGGGGAAAUGCCCUAACCUUUGGAUUUUUUCACAGAAUAAUUGCCUAAAUGGCAAGGAGAGUAUUAAGGUAUUCAUAAAAGCUAUAAGUUAUGAAAAUGAUAAGAGCAUCAGUCAACAUUUGAGGACGAAUGUUCCAAAUGGGGGAAUGAUGUUAUGCCCCGCAACAAUUACGAUGAUGUUGCACCAUGUAGUAUUGUACGUUGAAUUUGUCGUAAGAUAAUUGACAUCAGUUCAAGGACAAGAUUAUUUGGAGAUUGUAAAUAUUAUUCUAUUUCAAACAAGUGCUGAGUUAAUUCGUAAAGGUGAGAGGGUAAGCAAAUAAAAGAAAAUGAAUUUCGUCAAAUUUUGACAUUUUGGGAUAAAAUACGGCCCGAGCUAAAAUACUCGAUAUUUAUGGACUAGUACCAUACAAGGUACCACAUGGCCGUGAUAGUAAGGUGUAUAAUGUGUAUUAAAAUUGAGUAGUAUUCUAAGUAAUUUGAAAUAUUUUUUAGUUAAGUAGAAAAUUGGUUAAUUAUCGGGUAACGGAUCAUUACCUAGUUAAUUAAUAAUCUUGGGAUAAGAUUAAACCCCUCCCCCAACAUGGAAAUUAUCCAUUUACAUGUAAUGACUAAGUAUUAAAGUUGAAAGGUGUCACACUUUGAGAAAGAAGUGUGUCACCAAGCUAGACAUGUGGGGCCCAUAUAAUAAUUAAGCAUGACUUUCCAAAUUCACAAUUUCUCUUCAAUUCUCUUAAAACAAGAACAUAAUAACGUUCUGUAUAGUAGUUUCAUCCAAGAUUCCUCAUCAUUUCUAAUGUCAUAUCUAUUCUAUUUAGAAAAAAAUUGAGUGAAAUAUAAUUUCCAAAAAAAAACCCAAACAGUACUACUAAGUUCUUACGAAAAAGCUUCGCCAAGAUUAUCUUUGCAUAGCAACGUUAUUGCUUCGGGUAUUUCGUACGAAUUGUUCCCUAUUUUGAUCUUGUUGUUACGUGUUUUGUCGCAAUUGGCAUGCGUUAGAAGGAUUGUCUAGAGGAUCAGCUCAGGUAUGUUAAGGCUAUCCCUUGUUUCUUUUGGCAUGAUCCUUACGAUACGAACAAAACGUGCAAAUGCAUGAAUUCCAUGAAUGACUCUAUUCAUAGAAGUAUUAGAGAUAUCUAUGUUCUUGAAUUUCCAUGUGUCAUAGUAUUUUAUCAUUUGUUCAUGGGUCUUAGAAAAAUAUGAAAGUUGAAAAGAGUAUACAUUAUGACAUUACUCAAAGGUAAAAUGGUCUUAUAAAGCUCCGAAAGAUUUUAUUAACGUACUUUUCAUGCAUUGCAUUCAUGUGCAUUGACCCAUAACCAGACGGCAUUAUAUACGCGUAUAUAUGUAUGUAUAUAUAUAUGUAUAUGGGAUAUGGGAAAGGUUACGACGUUAUAUAUGCACCACCAUCUGAUCAGUUGGUAAAUGAUGAUGAUGUUGCCCACAAUGGCUGAAAUAUGAUUCAAACAACGUUAUAUAUGCAUAUAUAUGUAUUUAUAUGUAUAUGGGAUAGGAAAGAGGUUAUGGCGUUAUAUCCGCAACAUCACCUGAUCAGCUGGUAUACGAUGAUUAUUUUGCGCACAGUGGCCGAUAUGAUAUGAUGGGAUGCCCUCAGAGGCUGAUGAUGUUAUGAAAUAUGUCCUAUACACGACAUGACAUUUAUACGCAUAUUCAUGAUGCUAAAAGUAAUUUAUGAUUUACAAAGUUAUUCAGACAUACAGGUUAAGUCAUGUACUCUAUAUUUCUUCCAUGUCUCUUAUGUAUUUAUUUGUUUAUGGCCGAUAUUUAUUUAUUUGUACUGACGUCCCUUUUGCGUGGGGACGCUGCGUUUCAUGCAUGCACGUCCUGAUAGACAGGUCGAGAGCCCUCCAAGUAGGCUAUUAGCUCAGCGGAAGAUGUUGGUGCACUGCAUUUUCUUCGGAGUUGCUCAUUUGGUUAGUAUGAUUUAGACGUGUAUUGUUUGGUAUGGCGAGACUCUUUCUCUACUAUUAUAAUAUUUAUAUAUUUUUAGAGGCUUGUAGACAUGUCGUGUACAUAAAAUAUUGUACGGCCUUGUCGGCCUAAGUUUUGAGUUUACAAAUGAUUAUGUUGGCCUAUUAGGCUCGUAUGUCACGUGUAUAUGAUGAUGUAAUAAGAAAUAUACAUUACGUUGGUACUCGGUUGAGUAAGGUACCGGGUGCCCGUCGCGGCCCAUCUGUUUAUGUCGUGAUAUUCAUGCCGAUUGCCAUGUUGAGUCAUAGUAUGUAGGCUUCAUACUCUGCCAUGUUGUUGUUGCAGGGAAAUCUGAGUUUAGCAGAUACCGUGUAAUGUUGACCUGUUUUUGAUACCAAAACCGCUCGAAUGUCCACUCCUUUGAAAUUUGCAGCUCCAUCGAAGAACAUCCUCCAACCGUCAUAUGCUUCAGUAAUGUCCUCUCCUACGAAUGACACCUCUUCAUCAGGAAAAUACAUUUUCAAGGGUUCGUAUUCUCCUCCCACAGUAUUUUCAGCAAGAUGGUUGCCAAUGCUUAUCCUUUGACCGCCUUUUGAGUUACAUAGAUAAUAUCGAACUCACUUAAUAGUAUUUGCCACUUGGCUAACUUCCCAAUCGGCAUGGGUUUCUAAAAUAUGUACUUUAGGGGGUCCAUACUGGAUAUGAGGUACGUGGUAUAGGCACAGAAGUAAUGCCUCAAUUUCUGGGCCGUCCAGGUCAAAGCACAGCAGGUGCGUUCCAGCUGAGAGUAUCGUGCUUCAUAAGGUGUGAAUUUCUUACUUAGGUAGUAUAUGGCUUGCUCCUUUCUCCCUGUCUUAUCAUGUUGUCCCAAAACCCAUCCGAAGGCUCCAUCUAAUAUAGAUAGAUAGAGUAGCAAAGGUCAUCCUGACUCUAGCGAGACCAAGACCGGUGGUAUGGAUAGGUACUCCUUGAUUUUGUCGAAAGCUUUCUAACAAUCCUUGGUCCAGCUUGUUUCAGCAUCUUUCCUCAUCAUCUUGAAGAUGGUUUCACAUAUGACUGUGGACUAUGCUAUGAAGCGACCGAUAUAGUUGAGACGUCUUAGGAAGAUCAUCACGUCCUUUUUGCUCUCAGGUGGCGGUAACUCCUAAAUAGCCUUAACUUUAGAUGGGUCCAGUUUGAUCCCUCGACGACUGACAAUGAAUCCUAGUAACUUUCCUGCUGGAACCCCGAAUGCACACUUCGCGGGAUUCAGGUUUAAGUUGUACCUCCUUAACCUGUCAAAGAACUUUCUCAGGUCUGCUAUGUGGUCCGUGGACCUCUUGGAUUUGAUAAUGACAUCCUCCACAUACACCUCUAUUUCUUUGUGUAUCAUAUCAUGGAAAAUGGUUGUCAUGGCUUUAAUGUAAGUAUCCCCUUCAUUCUUUAGGCCGAAUGGCAUCAUCUUGUAUCAGUAUAUCCCCCAUGGCGUAAUAAAAGUUGCCUUCCCUGCAUCUUCUUCAUCCAUCCAGAUCUGGUAAUAACCCACAAAGCAGUCUACAAAGGAUUGGAGUUCGUGCUUGGCACAAUUGUUGAUCAGGAUGUGUAUAUUUGGCAUUGGAAAGUAAUCCUUGGGACUCACUCUGUUUAAGUCUCGAUAGUCAACACAUACUUUGACCUUUCCAUCUUUCUUCGGAAUUGGUACAAUGUGGGCUAACCAGGUUGGGUACUCAACCACCCUAAGGACUUUGGCUUUGAUCUGCUUAGUAACUUCUUCCUUGAUUUUUAGGCUCAUAUCUAUUUUGUAUUUUCUGAGUUUCUGCUUCACUAGCGGACACAUGGGAUUAGUAGGCAACUUGUGAGCCACUAGGACGUGCUCAAACUAGUCAUGUCAUCAUAUGACCAUGCAAAUAUGUCCUCAUACUCCUUUAAGAAACGAAUGAACUACCCUUUCUCUGUCGGUGAUAAGUGAAUGCUGAUGCGAGUCUCUUUGACGGUCUCAGCGUCUCCCAAAUUCACUGCUUCGGUUUUGUCCAAGUUGGAGUUAAGAUUAUUCUCAAAGUUCUCAACCUCCCUGACAACUUCCUCAGGUAUUUCAUCUUCUUCAUCCGAGUCACUAUCCUCUUGCGUUGCCUCAUUACAUGUCACAGUCACUGGUUCAUCAGGAAAAGUAAUAAUAGCGUUGUAGAAAGAAAAAGUGUGGAAGAUAAUAAUGAAUAAUAAAGAGCAAUGCAUUUGAUUAAAAUUGAAAACAUCCAAACAAGUACGGCUCGAUGAUUCGAGCAUUUAUUUUGAAACAAGCAAGUCUUUAAAACAAAAUUACUGAAAAAUCUUAGAUGCCUAGAAUGUCUAUAGAAAAAAAUCUGCCAAGCUACCUAGGGACUUGACGGGCCCGGGAUGGUGUGACAGUCUAGUUCCUGAGAACAACUCCCUUUUCCAAAGUCUGAAUAUUGAGGCCUUAUUCCUCCUCCUCCUUAAUUAUUGCACUGCAAUCCAUGUCUUCAUCCUCUAGGAACAAAUUCCUCAGCCCAGCUAAUGUUUCUUCUUCCGCAUUUCCCCAUAUUGUAACAACUUGGUGAAAAGUUUGACCCAGAUGCGGCACUGGUUGCUCUAUAGGGUAAUAAGGUCCACGCCAUGGAGGCGACCAAUCAUCAUACUCUUUCCAAGUAUACUGGUAUUCGAGCGUGAAGGUAGUACCAUGACGUUUUAUCUGUAUCGGUUUGGUAAUACCCUAGAAAUUCUUCCCAAGACCUUUACCAAUUUCAUACCCAGACCAUGCCAGUAUGCUUUCUAUUUUGUUACUCCACCAUUUAUCUUUCUCAAUGGCAUUGACAUGCUCGAUGUGAUGAUAGGUUUCCCCUCCUAGCCUUCUUCUGUUCCCGAUAACCAGGAUGGUUUGACUGGUAUAAAUGGGGUUACUCCCGUCCCCGUGAAUGAUCACCUCCUGAUGGUUCCAUUUGAAUUUCAUGGCUUGGUAUAGUGUGUAAGCCACAACCACAACGGCAUGUAUCCAUUGUCGGCCCAAUAAAAGAUUGUAUGAAGCUGAUAUGUCAAGCACUUCGAAUUCAACGUCGAACCAAGUUGUCCCCAUCUGCAGACAAAGAUUAAUAUCCCCAAUCGUGGCCCUUUGAGACCCAUCGAAGGCUUUCACGUUCAUGCUUCCUGCCCGUAUUUCAUGGAAGCCUUUGCCCAAUAUUUUCAAAGUAUCAGACGGAAAAAUAUUGAGGCUUAAACCUCUAUCAAUCAAGACCCUGGCAAUGAAUGUCUUCAAAUUGUACCGUGGUAUGCAAUGCUCGAUUAUGAUUCAACCCUUCUGGUCAUAGCUCAUCCUCGUAGAAGAUUUUCUUUUGACUUUCCAGCACCUGCCCUACCAUGUUGGCCAUCUCUCCGCAAGUGAUAUUGUUGGGCACGUAAGCUUUACUCAACACCUUCAUCAAAGCAUUCUUGUGCGCCUCUAAAUUUUGCAAUAGUGAUAGUAUGGAUAUCUGUGCAGGAGUUUUGUUCAAAUGAUCAAUGACGGAAUAUUCCCUUGCUUGUAAUUUCCUCCAAAGGUCAUCUAGUCCUGUUUCAAUGAUAGGCUGCUUGGUAGUGGCAUCCUAACUUGGUCCUCCCAAGUGUUCUGGUAUAUAGAUUCUUCCAGUCCUAGUCAUUCCUUGUGAAGCAUCGAAUUCCUCCAUCUUUGCCAUUCCUUUUUGCCUAGCUUCGCCAACAUAAUCUCAGGGUAUUGGUUUUGAGUUGAAAGGAGGUGUGGUUGAUACUGUCACUGUGAAAGGUGUGGUCACUAACACUUUGAAUGUAACAGGGGUGGUCGUAGGUGGAGCUACAUCUACCUCAAAUGGGAUCGAUGUCUCUACCUCAAAUGGGAUCGAUGUCGCUACCUCAACCUCAACUAGAGACAACGUCUAUAUUACAAUAAGAGUAAGUGUGACUAUGGGUUUAAUGUCAUCACCUUCUAGAAUAAGCCCGAGUUACCCCUCAGGAUCCCAUUCUUCAUCCAUCUCUAUCAUAUGUAUCCCACCACCCCUAUGAUUUGGGAGAGGGUUGUUGCGAACAUAGGGUGCAGCUUCUUUCACCUGUAUGAACUUGUUGUCAAUCAGUGUCUGGAUUUUAUCUUUCAAUGUUUGGCACUCUCAAUGGCGUGCCCCUUCAUACUGGAAUGGUAUGCACAUGUUUUAUUUUGGUUGACCCAUUGGGACGGGUUUUCUACUACCAUAGCGGGAAUGUGAGUGACAUAACCAGCGACUUUCAACCUUUCAUACAACUGGUCGAUGGGUUCAGUAAUAACAGUGUAUUGUCUGGGUGGUUUGCGGUCAAAAUUAGGUCGUGGUCUUGGAUAAUUUUGGCGAGUUGGAGGUGACUGGAAAUGAGAUGGUUGGGUAUUAUAGGUAUGAUCAACAGUGGCCGGUUGGGAAUAUCUGGGAGAUGAGGGUUGAUAUGUAGGUGGAGGUGCUUGGUAUGUGGGUGAGGGUGUUUGGUAUGUGGAUGGAGGUGUUUGCUAUGUGAGUAGAGAUUUUGGGCCCUGAGCCACCAUUACUUCCUCAACGUCUUUCUUCUUUGAUAUGCCGCCUGAUUGUAAUGCCUUGUUUGUGACCUGUAAUGCCUCAAAGUUUGUUACCAUCCCGCUUUUGAUGCCUUCUUCGAUCCUUUCCCCAAGUUUGAUGAUAUCAGAGAAUUUGUGGUUUUCAAUAACCAUCAACCUUUCAUAGUAUUGCGGAUCCUGUGCUCUGACGAAAAAUUUCUUCAUUUGUUCCUCAUCCAAAGAUGGCCUGACUUUGGCUGCUUCUGACCUCCAACGGGUAGCAUACUCGCGGAAAGUCUCGAUGGGCUUCUUCUUGAAGUUCUGAAUAUAGAAAACAUCUGUUGCAUUUUCUAUGUUGAACCUGAAUCGGUCCAUGAAAUUAGACGGCAUACUCACCCAGUUGGACCAUUUCUUAGGAUCCUGGCUGAUGUACUAGGACAAAGCAUCUCCCGUAAGACUCCUCAUGAAAAGUUUCAUCCGGAUCUUUUUAUCCUUUCCGACCUCGAUGAGCUUGUCACAAUAGGUCCUUAGAUGAACUCUGGGAUCAUCUAUACUGUCAAACAUCUUGAACUUAGGAGGUUUGUAACCCUCCGACAGUUCUACAUCCAGAUGUAUGCACAAGUCUUCAUAAUUCAAACCUUCUCUCCCUUUGCCUCAUUCGACACCCUGAAUUCAACUUAUCAAUUUCUUGAGUUCUUCGGCCAUGUUCUUGAUGAGCAGGUCCUUCUCAGCGGAUUCUGGUGUAUAGGAGGUUGGUUAAGUAGAGUGAGGUACGGUUUCCACAUAUAUAGGAUUGUUUUGGUAAGUGCUAGGAACCUGGGUGUAGUGGUGGUCAUUGGUUGAGAUUUGAGUAUCGGGAAGAGGUUGUGGUGUGUUCUGGGGAGUGUGAUAAGUAGCAGUUGGUGGGUACAAGAUUGGUUGAUGAUGGUGUUGUGGUGGAGUUGGUAUUGGCAAGGGAUUGAGAUUUUGAGGUGGAGUUGCAUAUUAAUGCGGUGCAGGAGGGUUUUAAGGAUGUUGGUUUGGUGUGUUUUGAAGAGGUGCUGGGUUUUUUGGUGUUUUGUUGGUUGACAUCGGGGACAUUCAGGAUGAGAGAUAGGUUUGCUAAAUUGCGGACCUGCUUAAGUUCUCCCUGUAGCUCUAGUAUCUUUUGUUCUAACCGUAAAACCAAAUCAUUUGGUGCUGGAGUACUCCGACCAUCUAAAGUUUCUGCAUUCUCCGCAUUUUCCUUUAGAAUACCGCUUAAGUCAUCCAUUUUAGCUUUCCCUUUGCUCUUUGUAUUACUUGGAAGAUGAGGAGGUGGUGGGCCUCUAGAUCUGGUGUAAUACGCUGAUGAUGCCAAUAUGUGCGAACUAACCUUAGGGGAUGGGAAUAAAGAAUAAAGAAAAACAAAAAGUAAAUAAGUUAGUAAGGGUUCUGAAAUGUUUGCAGUAUUUAAACACAUAUUGCGGAAUGUAAAUUUGCAUCCUAAUUUGGGAGCCUCGUUGUGCCCGAGGUAGGCCUAGCGACAAAUAAAUUUGGAGAAAUUCGAUGCCAAUAAUUGCUUCAUUCCAUUAAUGUAAAAAUAAACGACCCCAAAAUGACACUAAAUAAGAUAAUAUUGUUAAUGGCACUUGGCCUUAUUAAAUUUACAAGAAAGGCAAGUAAAUCUAAUCUACUUGGUCCCAGAAGGACCCUCUCCAGACCGGAUGUUGUUGUCGAUCAACUCUCCCAGCUCGCUUAGGAUCCUUGAGUAAGAAUGCCCUUGCCAAAUGCCCUCCUUCGUUUCCCUCAGCGUUCUGGCAGUCGGUGACUCUCUUUCUUAUAUUUCCCUCCAAUUCCAUCAAAUUGUACUCCAAAUAUUCCAGCCUUUUGCUGGAUAUAACAGCGCUCUCCUUCCACUCAUUAAUCAUUUCCAUAUCGUCCUUAUGCUGCGCCAUAUGCUCAGCUUCAGACUCUUGAACUCUUUUGUGCAACUUGUAAUACUUUACCUCUGCUUCGACAAACUCAUCUAUGACCCUAUUUCCUGGACCAACCCUUGGCUCGAAGAUUCCAGAUAAAUUAUCGUCCAACCAUGAGGGGUAAAAGUAUGAAUGGCCCGCAUGAUAUCAGUGCGGCUCGAUGGUAUCCUUCUCCAAAAUAAUCUUCAAAGUCCACAUAUAUUGUGUUUCAUUGUUAUAUGGGAUGGCAUCACCCUGGAAAUUAGCUAUGAAGUGACUCAUUUUAGCGACACAUGGUAUGACCUGUCUACUACCUGCCUAUCUCAUAACCCUGAGGGGAGCAUAAGGGUAUAUCCCUCUUAACCCAAUGAACACCAAAUAUGGGAUGUCUCUAGAUUUGAUGAUGAACUCGUCAGUGGGGAACCACUCGAACAUCCGCUGAACCUGGUCCUCAGCCAACUUUUUGAAGAACUGCACCCAUCCUAUAGCAUCCUUAGGUUGAGAAAGUAUGUCCGGAAUAUAAGUCAUUCUCUUAUGGUGAUGGAAGGCUAUGUGGUCAUUCCACGACCUUCGUGGAAACUCUUGGUGGUAUUGACCCCUUUGGAUAUGUUCUAACAGCCAGACUUGUAACAACAAAUUGUAACCCUCAAAGAAUCUGGACCCCUUCUGACAGCAUUCCAAAGCCCCGUACAUAUCUGCAAUGAUCAUAAGGACAAUAGUAUAUGUUUGCCCCUCGACCCCGUCCAUCAGAGUUUUGGCCACCAUGGCCAGCCUAGUAUGGAUUCUAUCCCCUUGGAUUGGGAAUACUAGCAUGCCCAAGAAGCACACAAUGAACACGAAAACCGUACGAGGAACCCAGCCUAAGGAGGUGAUUAAGAAUUGAUCAUCAAAAAUACGGUAAGAGCUGUUGUGACCGUAUCUUUCAUAUAAGAUGUCAAAAGGUAUGUAGGAGUUUUUUAGGCACUUCAAAUCAUCAUUUUUCUUCAGCCCCAUCAUCUUAAGGAACCUUCUGGUGGUGCGAUUUUCAGGUGCUAACAGACCAGGGCUAUCCCAAGGCAACCCAGCAAAUCCUCCUAUUUCUUCUAGGAGGGGAGUCAUUUCUAUAUCCCCAAAAUGGAAUACAGCCCUUUGCUUAUCCCAAAACAAAGUGGGCCUCAGUCAACAUUUUGUUCGGUUGAAGAUCCAAUAGUGACGGAAAAUUCCCUAAGACUCUUUUCAUAUGAUUUUGGUCACUUGAGGGAAGGUCCCUCCACAUAUCUAGAAAACGUGGAGGUAUGCUACCGAUCAUACCGAAUCUGGGGACUUCGUGCCUCAUUUUCUACAAAACAAGAGAUAAUUAGGCCAUUUCCCCCUCCAGGUUCGUCUAUUUAUACAGUAAUGAUUAGCAUAUUGGCACUUAUUCCUCCAAAUUAAUGCACACAAUCGUGAUUACGUCCGUUGGGAUUGUGGAAAACCCGAUGGACUUUUGGACGAGACUUGUUUUAAAGGGUUAUUAUGCGGACAACAUAUUAACCCGACUAGGUUUGACCAUGAUGCAUGUACAAUUAAUCAGAGUAAGGCUUCUAUAGAGGUCUAGACUGGGACCCUCAAGCAGACAACUUGAGGGAGAAAGGCAUGGAAUCGUCGAACGCACCGCUGAUCGACUAGUUUUACUGCAAAUACGCCUUUCCAAAUUUAAAGGGUGAUAUAUAGGAAGAGCAUAAACACUCAUCAAGCGUUGCUAUGGGAUUGAUUAGGCACGAGUGGAAUAUGAUGUUGAGCAUGAUUUAUGCAAUAAUAAAUAGCAUGUUGUCAAGCAUUUGCACGUAAAAAAUGAUAAAUGCAGUAAUUAAAUAAUUGAAAGACAGUUACGGAAAAAGAAAAAAAGAGACAAGUCAGUUUCAGGAAAUAAAAGAAAUCAUAAAUAAGCAGUUAAAUCCAAAUAAAGGAGAAAGGGUACACGUGAUAAAGCAUGCUUAGACAAAUUCACAAAAAAUAAGUUUCCUUUUGGGUCGCCAUGCUUAGACUAAAGCAUGCUUAGCCUAAAAAUAAUCCCUAGCAGAGUCGCCAUGCUGUCGCGCCCCCUUUUUUCCCUUUUGCGGGGAAGUCCGAGUUUCGACAUAUAUGGGGGAACAACUCGUUUCCUUUUGGGAAUUGGAUAUUUGAAGAGUCACCACCUAACAGAUUAAGGUGUGUUAGGGCACUUAGAUCAAUUAACUCGUGUAACCAGUUUUGCAUUACCAGAGAUUAGGGUAAGAACUCAAAAUAACCUUGAAGGGAAGGUGUUAGGCACCCCUCGCGGUUAAUAAGGGUGGGUCCUGACAGAACUUAAACUAUGUGAAUUAGUCAAUUAACAAGUAAGCAGUCUUAGCACAUAUUUGCAAAUAAAGGUAGUUUUCACAGUCUAAAUACAUAUAUGAUCAAAGAAGCUAAGAUGGUCCAAUGCACAUAUAUGAAAGAAGUUUAGAUAAUUUAAACACAUAUAGGAAUUGGGAAAAGGUAGUCCUAAGUUGAUUAGCCAACAUGAUCAAUCUGUGCAAUACCCGGUAAUCCUCCUCAACUAGAGGGGCUAAACGUGACAUUAGCGCACAUGUCAUCAUAUCCUUUUACUACCCAUUACCCUCCCAUUAAUUGUUAUAUAAGCGAAUUUGGUUAGCGACCUCUAAGCGUGCUGUUACCCGUCCCUUUCUUGUGGCCCUGGAGGAAUUUAGGAGCUCUAAACUUAGGCAAUUCUAGACAAUCCGAAGGUGUUUAAUCGAGAAAAGUCUAGGCGACAUCAAAUAACACAUAGGACUGUCAAUUAAGGAAGCAAGUAAAAGGCUCAUUUUUACCUCCACAUAUACAUAGGCAAAUAAAUAGCACGUCUCAAACAGCUAAGUUUGAAGAAGUUUAGAAAGCCUAGGAACAUGAUAUCUAGAUGAAUGUUACAGAUACAGGAUAUGCAGCGUUUUUUUUAAGGGAAGUGGCAGAAUCCUAACCGGUUUGCCUACUUGUUUUCAAAAUAUGUUAGACUUAAGCAGUUUAUAAACAAUCAGAACACGGUUUUCAAUUUUAUACAAGGACAUUAAUCACCUAAGGCUUCUGAAAUCACAAUUAAAGGAGCUGUUUAAACAAUUUGGAAUUAUUCAACCUAUAGGCAUGCUGAUCUAGGUGAUACAGAUUAUAACAAGUGAUUUAUACCAGUUUACAUCAGAAUAUGACACCUAUGUGUGAGGCCAUUUUUAAACCUUUUCAUUUAUUUAGUCGAAAUAGACAAGAUCUAAAACAGAUGCAAACAGAGUCCUAAGAACAGGAUACUAAUGCACGUAGGGAUGACUGUUUAUUAGGCAGGAUUAUUUAGCAGCAGGAUUUCUGAGUGAUAGUACUGAUGUAGAACCAAGAAUUGAGUAGUGAUCUAUAACAUGCAAUAUGCUGAAGCCGUAAACAUAAAUACCCUAAAAACAUGAUGUCUAGUGCACAUGUUUGACAUGGUUUGAAUGCAAAUAGACACAUCAAUCCUAGAACAUGAUUUCUAAUGCAAAUUUGCCAAAUGUAAAGCCUAGAAACAUGAUUUCUACCCAGCUUUACCCACAGGAUCAUAUAGCUACCAUCCCUUUUCACUAGUUACCCAGUAUCUGUUUACAAAUGAUUAUUACAUACCAGAAUUGAAUAAAUUACAUAAAUGCAAUAUAGAUUAAAUUAUAGGGAGCUUGAUGCAGGCCCAAAGCAAACCUGGGAGUGCCAAGCCUUCAGUAGUCUCAAAUGCCAAGAAUUUCAUUGUCAAAUUUGUGUUCGGGUGUGUUAGAGUUUCCUAAGGACCUCAAGGAUCCCGGGCAGUGCUCACACCUAGACUUUUCACAAUAGAUAUUAAAUAUGUAAAGUAUGGAAUGGCCAGCUCCAGUGUGUCAGAGUUCAAAGGAAUCUCAAGAGGAUCCCAAGGUAGUACACACAUUGGAGGGGCAGAACUUAUUGACUUAGGAGUAAAGUGAGAGUGCUUGUCAUAGUUUUGAAAGGUUUUUAUUUUGGAAAAAAUAGUAUAGAGAUGAUUCCAGGAGUGAAAAAGGUUUUCUGAAAUAGGAACCAGUUUUGUGGUAAAAUAGUUUGAGAAAAUUACUAAAACACUUUCAAAAUCAGAACACAAAUCAUAGAACAACCAGAUUCAAAAUACUUGGCAAACAAAUUCCACAUAGGGAUAGAGGGGUUGGGGACACAUAGAAUACACAUCAACGUAUAGGGAAACACAUAAACAACAAAAUGCACAGAAUUCUCAAGAGCUUUAUAGAAUUAAUAGGUUGGUCAUGACAAUGGGUAGUUGAGACACAUAACAGAGGUAUAGCAAAACCAUGUUGAAAGCAGGGGGUAUUGGACAGAAUCAUGCACAUAAUUAGGAUCAAUCAAAGUCCCAAGAGAUUAAGUAUAAUCUCAUCAGUAAAGAAGAGCAUGCAAGAAUUUAAACAGACAUGCUAAACAAAUAUCACAUAAGCAUUCAUAGUUUAGACAUGCUGACUACAUAUUGAACAAACAAGAUUUAGACAUUCUAGAUAAAGCAGUAAACAAGUAGUUAUAGUUUAGACAUGCUAGAUAAAGUAGUAAGCAAGUAGUAUAGUUUAGACAUGCUAGUUACAUAUUGAGCAAGACAGUACUUUAAACAUGCUAAGCAAAGAAGUAAACGGGAAAACAUAUUGGAUUCAUGGUUAAUGGAAUAGUGCAGUAAUGAAACAUAUAGAGUUUGAGGUUUCAAAACUUAAUCAGAGACAUACAAGUUAGGGAAAGAGAAUACAAAGUAUGAAGCAGGUGCAGUGCAAUAUCUAGCCUUGGCUUAUGGCCGACUAUAUCAGUGAAUAUCCCAAGUAAUAGAGAAGACAAGAGAGUUUUAGAGUGUAAGUGUGUUUAUGAACUAAUGUCCAUGUCCCAAAGGUGAGAAUAGAGGAGAGUAUAUAUACCAGUUUAGGAGCGGAUCAGAAUAAGGUAAAAGAAAUCAACACUCAGCAAUUAAGGAAAUCACAGGAUCAAUUACACACAAAAUCAGCAUAGUCUUCCCUUAAUUAAGGAUAACUACUCAACAGUUAAUGUACAAGAGUCAUUUAAGGAAAGAAAUCAAAUCAGACCUAAGUAAAGAAGUAAACAAACAUGAGUCUAAUAAAGGGAAUAACCGUCAAGAAUCAGUAACAUUACAGACAAUUAAAUAAGGUAAGAAGAUUAAUUAAAAUCGUAAACAAGGGACUAAAUCAAGAAUCAACGCAUAAGUUUUAACCGAGCAAAUCAGUAAAUCAAAAUUCAAAAUAGUACUGAUUUAAGGGGGGAGGGGGGACUAUCAGUUUCCAAAAAUAGACAAAUAGGCUAAAUAAAAUUUAAUAAACACAUAGAAAUUAGCCGAGAGAUCGACUCAAAAACCCUAGUAGAGAUGAACUAGGGUAAAGUGUCACAAGAUACUGAAUUAAACUGAGGAGAAAUCAUGAAAGUGAAAGCACAGAACGAAACAAUGCAACGAGUAACACGGAAAACCCAGAAAUGAAGUAAAAUUAUAAGAAAAUUGGGGCUUUAGCAUAAAUCGACUAGGGUCCAAACAAUCUUAGCAGAAAUCAAUCAAUAACAUAUAAGAACAGACGAUUAACAUUCGAAAAUCAGAAAAUCUUUAGAGAACAUGACUUAGGGUAAACCUAGUUUUAGGAAAAAUGAAAAAUCAGUUGAAAUACCAGGAGUCUUUCAAGGAAACAUGUGAAAUACAUUAAAAAAUUAGGGUUUUUUAGAAGUAUAAAAGAGAUGAGGUCAUAGACUUAGGAAACCAUAGAUUUAAGACAAAAAUGAGAAAGAUCUUACUCAAAGUCGAGCCAAAUGGCCUGAAAUAGGCAAGAAAACCCAAAGGUGUAAAGCAGACUUGCCCUGAUCCCUUGAGAAUCUCCUCAAGGAUCUAGGAGAUGGAGAUACCAUAGUAUAUAGGAGGCCAUUAGAGGCCUGAGGUGGUGAAGAACCACCAUAGAACGACAGUAGGCUAGUGACGAUGGAGGGGGGGGGGGAAUUAGUGUUCCUAUUAAAGAGCAUUUGAGAGACGAAGAGAGGAGUGGCUGCGGGGAAAGGGGAAAUAGUUAGGGUUGGGGGGGGGGGGGUUCUUUUGGUUUAAUUAAUGUAGGGAAGUCCUGGACCGUUGAUCAAAAUUCAUCAACGGUCAGGAUUGACCAAGGGGUUUGGGUAGGCAGGUAGGGGAUUGGGCCUAAGGGUUUGGGCUAAUUUUAUAAGGGGUAUUGGUAUGGUUAGUUUUAGGCUAAAAUUGAAAUAAAAGAGGUUAUUUAUUAAAUACCCAAAGUAAUUGAAUAAAAUUAAUUUGUAAAAUAAUUAACUAAUUACAAAAUGAUUUUUAUGCAUGAAAAUAUUUUGUAAAUAAUUAUUUAGUAUUUUAAAAUACAAUGGACUAAUUUCUGGUAAAAAUGAUGCAAAAUGUAUGCAUGGGCUAUAAUUGCAAAGAUAUUGCAAUUAUAUCCAAAAGAUGCCAAUUUGGCUAUUUAUGAAAUAAUUUGGACUUAAUAGGACCAUAAAUAGUAGUAUUAAAUCAAGAAAUAUUUUGAAAUCAUUUGUGAAGCAAUUUUGUAAUUAUUUAUUAAAAGUAAAAUACUAUGCAAAAUUAAUUUAAAAAUGUAGAAAUUGUGGGAAAAAAUACCAAUUGAUGCUAAUGCAUGAUUUUGAAGGCAUAUAUGCAUUUUAAAACUAUUUUGGAAAAAAUUGGGUAUCAACAUCGGCAAUUGAAAGUUGGUAACCAUUGUUCACGUGCUGAAGAUUUGGAGGUACUAUCUAUAUGGUGUUCAUUGAGAGGUCUAUACCGACCAUCUAAGUCUCUAGCACCUGUUCAAGCAGAAUGACCUUAAUUUGCAGCAUCAGAGAUGGCUAGAGUUGUUGAAAGAGUAUGAUAUCACCAUAUUAUAUCAUUCGAAGAAGGCCAACAUAGUGGCUUAUGCAUUGAGUAGGAAGGCGAAGAACAUGGAUAGUUUGGCAUAUCUACCGGUAGCAGAACGUCCACUAGCCAUGGAUAUUUAGGCUUUGGCCAACUGAUUUGUGAGAUUGGAUGUUUCGGAGCCCAACCGAGUUCUUACUUCUGAUAUGGACCGGUUUUCAUUCAUGUAGCGUAUCAAGGCUUGAUAGUUUGAUGAUCCUCACUUGUUGGUGUGGAAGGACAUAGUGCAGCAAGGUGGUGCUAAGGAGGUUGUGAUUGGUGAUGAUGGUGUUAUGCAACUUUAAAGCCGGAUUUGUGUUCCAAAUGUUGAUGGGUUAAGAGACUUGAUCCUUGAGGAGGCACAGAGUUUGCGCUAUUCUAUUCACCUAGGUGUCACGAAGAUGUACUGUGACUUGAAACAACAUUAUUGGUGGCAGAGAAUGAAGAAAGACAUCGUUUCUUAUGUGUCUCGGUGUUUGAAUUGUUAACAUAUGAAGUAUGAUCAUCAGAAAUUGGGUUAAGUGACUUAGUUAUUGGAGAUACCAGAGUGGAAGUGGGAGCCCAUUACUAUGGAUUUUGUGGUAGGCUUGCCAUGAACCAUGAAGAAAUAUAACGCAGUCUGGGUUAUUGUGGACCGGUUGACUAAGUCAGUGCACUUCAUUUCGGUGGCGACUUCCUAUUCUUCAGAGUGAUUGGCUCAAAUUUACAUUCAGGAGAUUAUCCGCCUGCAUGGUGUGCCCAUUUCCAUCAUUUCUGACCGAAGCACAUAGUUCAAAUCGCAUUUUUGAUAGUUGUGCAGUAUGCGUUGGGCACACAGGUUGAGCUGAGCACAACAUUUCAUCCUCAGAUGGAUAGACAGUCUGAGCGCACUAUUCCGAUCUUGGAGGACAUGUUACAUGCUUGUGUUAUGGAUUUCGAAGGUUCAUGGGACCAGUUCUUACCUCUUGCAAAGUUCUCCUACAACAACAGUUAUCAGUCGAGUAUUCAAAUGGAGUCGUAUGAGGUCUUAUAUGGGAGGCGAUGUCGUUUGCCGAUUAUUUAGUUUGAGCCUAGAAAGUCUAAGUGGUUGGGCACUGAUUUGGCUCGCGAUGCUAUGGAGAAGGUUAAGUUGAUUCAUGAUCGACUUGAUCUAGCACAGUAUAGGUAGAAGAGUUAUGUUGAUCGGAGGGCUGGUCAUGUAGCAUUUAUGGUAGGAGCAAGGAUUUUUCUUAGAGUUUCACCCAUGAAGGGUGUGAUGAGGUUCGGAAAGAAGGGCAAGUUUAUCCCUAGGUAUAUUGGUCCUUCUAAGAUCCUUGAGAGAGUUGGUGAGGUGGCCUACAAAUUUGCAUUGCCACCCAGAUUAUCAGGAGCACAUCUGGUAUUACAUGUUUCCAUGCUUCGGAAGUACCAUGAGGACAACUCCUAUGUUUUGGACAUUAUCAUGGUUCAGCUUGAUGAAAAUUUAGCCUAUGAGGAGGAGCCGGUGGCUAUUCUAGCCCGACAGGUUCGAAAGUUGAGGUCUAAGAGUUUUCUUUCAGUGAAAGUGUAGUGGAGAGGUCAGUCGAUCGAGACAACUACAUGGGAGUACAAGUCCAAUAAGCAGAGUAGAUACCCCUACCUUUUCACUAGUCCAGGUACCUUUCUAUGUCCGUUCGAGGAUGAGCAUUUCUUUUAGAGGUGGAGGAUGUGACAACCUGAUAGGUUGUUUCGAGUACUAGCCCUUAUUUUCUUGAUUCGAGACCUCCCGUAGCCUCAUUUGAUAUUUCUUGGUUUGCGUCCGUGGUUUGUGUUGUAUUUCGAAAAGCUUUUAUGUGAAAUUUUGAAGCAAAUGAGGAUUUGUGACUAAAAUAAGGCUUGAGUUGACUACGGUCAACAUUUUGGGUAAACAAUCCCGGAUCAGUAUUUUGAAAAUUUUGGUAGGUUCAUAUUGUAAUUUUGGACUUGGGUGUAUGCCCGAAAUUGAUUUCAGAGUCCCUUAGGAUGAUUUGAGUUGUUUUACCGAAAGUUAGCAAUUUGAAUGUUUGAAAAUUUCCUAGGUUUGAUUGAAGGUUGACUUUAUGGUUAUCAAGUUUGAAUUUUGGCUCUGCGAAUUAGAAUAGGUCCGUUUUGUUAUUUGAGCCUUGUCUGCAAAAUUUGGUGAAAUUCGGAGGUCAUUUGAUAGGAUUCAAAUGCUUGGUUGUGAUUCAAGAGGUUUUUGAGUUUUCUUUUAAAAUCCAUGCGUCUUGAGGUAGAUUCGUGGUUCUAGAUGUUAUUUCGGUAUUUUGAUCGUGCGAGUGAGUUCGUAUGAUAUUUUUAGACUUUUGUGGAUAUUUAGUUUGAUCCCCUAUGGCUCGGGUGAGUUUCGUACGUGUUUCAGAAUAAUAUUAAGCUAGAACAGGUUUGCUGGUGUGUUGGUGUCUCAAGUGUCGCAAUUGCUAGCACCAGCAUCGCAAUUGCAAUCUUAGUAGGGGGUCUAAGGUGUCGCAAUUGCAAAGUAGUACUUGAGGUGGGUAGGUUCGCAUCUGCGCCCACUUGGUCUCAUUUGUGAUGGGAGCAGACUUCGCAAUUGCGAAGUCAAUGUCGCAUUUGCGACUUCUCUUUAGGAUGACAGGCACCGCAAUUGCGAGUUAUUCCUCGCAAUUGCGAGGGUUCGCAAUUGCCAACCCAGUGUCACAAUUGUGACAUCUACACCCGAACAUAAGGUCUAUAAAUGGGGAUUUAAGUCUUAUUCUCUCGUUUUAGAAUCCUAGACUCGGUAAAGGGCAAUUUGGAGAGUGUAUUUUAACCUACAAUCACUAGGUAAGUAAUUUUGACCGAUUUUCAAUUAUAUUACAUGAUUUUACAUGAGAUUUAACAUCAAAUUCAUGAGAAUCUAAGAGAAAUUUUGGGAAUUUUUGUGUAUAUUUUUGAAAAAUGUUAAUUUGAGAGUUGAAUUGGACUCGGAUUUUGAACAAAAAAUAUAUAUAGACUCGUGGGGUUAUGGGUAGUCGAGAUCUAUCCUUGAACUCGGGUUUUGACCGGACAAGCCUGGGGUUGACUUUUGUUGACUUUUUCCAAACUCAUUAGAGAUCGAAUCUUUUUCACUCAUAGGUAGUUUCUAAAGCUUAUUUUGAAUUAUUUGAACUGUAUUUGGCUUGAUUUUAUCUGAUUUGGAGGAUAAUUCUAAAGGAAAGGUCGUGGUUGAGUGUUGAUUUCAUUGCGGAAGAUGUAAGUGUCGUAUCUAACCUUGACUUGAGAAAAUUAGAACUUGUUGAACUUUUUGUUAUGUGAAUUAUGUGGGAAAACAACUUCUAUGCAAGGUGACGAGUGUAUAUGCGUCAUCGGAGGAUUUAGCAUGUGGGAUUGGGUUAUUUAUUCCCAUGUCUUCGUUAUUCCAUGUUAUCUCUUGUUAUGUGCUUUUAUUGAUGCAUGUUCCUACUUGACAUUUAUGCUCUACUUGUUUAAUUGUUACUUAACUGUUAUUUAUCUAAUUUUACUCAUCUCCCACUGAAUAACUGCUUACCUAUUAUUUGUUCCUACUUGCCUUAAUUAUAUAUUGAAAUUGUCACAUGUUUUACCUGCUUUAUUAUCCUUAUAUUUAUUUUAUGUACUCUAUUACUUUGUUUCACUUAUGUGAGUGGUGAACCUAUUUUCAUAUUGAUAAAUCGAAAAGGUUUGAGAUUUCGAGGUGUUUGAUAUUUUCUGUCAUAUUGAUGAUUCUUAAGUGUUCAGUACGCUUAAUCCUCUUUUGUGUUGAUAUUUCGUAAAUAUUGUUGUUGAGUUGUUUAUAUCAAUAUUGUGAAAUUGUUGGGGAUCGGGUUGCACGCAACAACAGUAUUAAAAUGAUAUGAUAUGAUAUGAAGGAAUAAGGACGGAAUAUGAUAUGAGAUGAUGAUAUGGUAGGAUCGAAUUGAGCGGCAUAAUGGAUUUGAUGUGUUAUAAGAUUUUUUGUAGUUGUAUAGAUUGUUCUCGAUGUUGUAAUAUAAGAUUAGAGAUUUUUUGGUAGUUGACUUACGGGUCUGGUUAUUUAGCUUUACUAUUUUAUUUCUAUUUGUAUUCCUAUUAUUAUUAUUAUUACGUACAUGUUUAUUAUGAGUGUCUUGUCAUAGCCUUAUCAUUACUUCGUCGAGGUUAGGAUCGGCAUUUACAGAGUACAUGGGAUUGAUUGUACUCAUGCUACACUUCUGCACUUCUUGAGCAGAGACCAAAAUUGGUCCUAAUGGCGUGUAGAUGAGAUCUUGCCAGGACCAGAUAUCAGCAGGAGACUUGAGGUAGAGUUGUUGUUAUUCGCAGUCCCUGAAGUCCCCUUCCAUUCUGUCUUUACUGUUUAUAUAGUUUCAAAGUUGCAUUUUGUUCAGACUUUUUCUGUAGUACUCUAGAUGCUCAUGUAUUUGUGACUCCAGAUUUCUGGGAUAUGUUAUUACACAAUUUGGUAUUUUAUCAAUCUAUUUCAUACUAUUAAAAUUUAUUAUUAUUAAUAUUUUGAUUUAUAUUCUUAAAAUAGUUUAAAUAAUCUAGCUAACGUUGGCUUUCCUAGCAUGGGAAAUAUUAGGCGCCAUCACAUUCCAGAGGACAGGAUUUUGGGUCAUGGCAUUAGCUCCUGCAAAAACAAAUUUACUUCUUUAGAACCGCACCUGCACGCAUACUUUGCAGGUGUGCAGGUGCACAAGUUCUUCUGCGCACAUUCUUUUGCACAUGCGGACUCCCUGUCCAAGGCCAAUUACAACUUAUGUGGACCCCCUUCCACUUUAGCAAGCUCGCACCUGGUCCAUCAGUUACGCGGGUGAGACACAUUAACCCCCAAAUAUGCCAAACAACAUCAAAUCAAUCUUAAACACACCCGAGUCUUAAUACCUUCCCCAUGCCUAUACAAAGGCUCAAAAUAUCAUAUUUGACAUCCAAACCAAGAAUCAGCAAUCAAAAAACAAGUGGAACUUGUCUUAACUUCAUCAGCCUUCCACUUCAAACCAAGAAUCUAAUUCAAGCCUAACAUAUUCGGAAUGAACCCAAACUUGCACAUAAGUUUCAAUUGGUAAAACGGACCUAUCUCAAGUUCCGUAAUAACAAUCCGAAUUUGAUAGACUCAAAGUCAACUAUCGAUCAAACGCAUGAGCUUUCCAAAUCAUCAAAGUUUCUUUGUCAAUCAGAGCCAAAACAUCCUAGGAACCUCCAAAUCAGAACAUACGUCUAAGUACAAAAUCACCAUACAGAUUUAUUGAAACCAACAAAUCACGAAUUUGAGGUCGCUUACAACAAAGUCAAAUCUUGUUCAACUCUUAUAACUUAAGCUUCCACAAUGAGACUAAAUGUCAAAAUUUACUUUGAAACCUUCCCAAACUAAUCCCAACCAUCCCCGCAUAUCAUCAAACAUCAGGUACAUAUACGGGGAACAUCAAAUAGAGUAACAAGAUAAGAAUAUACAAAAUAACUUAUCAGGUCGUUGCAUGUAGAUAUCAUGAUAUGCGGAAGGGAUAUCGUUCAGGAAGCAAUGCUCCAUUACCUAAGCACAUCAACAUUUAAAAGGGUAAAAAUCAUUAAAGAAUACACGAAUAGAGCAUCAAUCAUAUAAAAAGUCUAUUUAUGAAGAGAAUAAGCUAACAACUUGGUAAAUCAUUGGAUAAAUUUGAAUGAACCCUUUUACCGGAUUCAUGAUGGAAUUGAGUUCCAACAUCUUCAUUGUUGUUGCAAUCAUCAUUCUCGUCAUCGUCUUGAGAUGUCUUCAUGUAUAGCUCGAGAAGUGAUGGAUGAAAGAAUGAUAAUACCAUGUUUGAGUUUAUAUAGGAAAGGAAGGGGACUAUAGGAUUUUUAUAUUUUAUAUAGUAAGUUGUUAUGAACUUUAGUCCCCAAAUGUAUUAAACAUAUCAAACUUCUCCAUUUAGCCAAACCCUUAAAAAUUAGAAAACUUGGGCUAGAGAAAAAUAAAAGGAUAUUCAAAUAGGAUGGAAGAGAACGAAAAUUUUCAUAGACCUACUAAUCUAAGAACUUCAAUUCUCACAGUUUUAAAUAACUUUUAUUGGAUUCUCCGACGAACAUAAGCAAAUUAAGAUUUCAUUCAGGGUAACUAUUUUUUUUUCCAGUAGAUUAAAAGGGAUCAACGUAACCUUUCUGUCACGCCUCGAACCUGGGCCUAGACGUAACACGACACUCGAUGUCGGACUACAUGUGAUCGAGCGAACCAACUGGCUGGAUGAAUCAACAUGUGAUAUCAUAACAUACUGAAUGCGGAAGAUAAACUAACACAUGUUGAUAUACUGAAAGUCUGGAUGAUAUAAAUCAAAGUGUGGAAAUACUAAUACAAUUCUGAAACAUAUCUAUAGCCAACAUAGCUUAAUAUGAAAAGCCUGCUACUCUUUCUAACUGUUACUCUAGUCUAUGAAGCCUCUAAUGAAGUACUGAAAACACUAACUAUCUAAAAAUACUGAAGACUGUAGGUAAUGAUAAUGCCCCGAAAGAAUUGGGGAUCACCAAAUAGCUGGUACGAGAAUCAUAGCGCUCUGAAUCAUCAACCUAUAAAUCAUUACCUGCAUCGUGAGAUGCAUGCCCUGGUAAAAGGGGCGUCAAUACAUUUGAAUUGCACUGGUAUGUAAAGCAAAUGAAAGAAAGAAUUAUAAAUGUUGAAACUGAAACUAAGCUGAUAACUGAGAAUUGAUAAUUGAUAAUUGAUAAUUGAAAUGAUAACUAUUGAAACUAAAACUGAAACUGAAACUGACAUGAUAACUAAUAACUGAACUGAUAACUAAUAAUUGAACUGAACAAAGGAAGUAAGGAUAUGAAUACUCCCACUUCUGAAUGAUGAACACCCUAUUUAUCUGAAUAAGCUAUGGCCUCGGGCCCAAUAUAUAUGUGCACAAGCUACGCCCUCAGGCCCAAGUAUAUGUAUACAUAACUAUGGCCUCAGGCCCAAAAUGCAUAAAGCAUAAACUACAGCCUCAGACCCAAACAUACAUAAAGCAUAAACUACGGCCUCAGGCCCAACCAUGCAUAAAACAUAAACUACAGCCUCAGUCCCAAACAUGCAUAAAGCAUAAACUAUGGCCUUCUGCCAAAAUAUAUGUGUUCAACAUUCAGGAACUAAGAAUCAUAUUGCAAUACAUGAUAGUGAAAUACUGAAUCACACUAAGUUACAUGAUACUAUAAUACUAGAUCAUACUGAGCUACGUAAUACUAGAAUAAUGAAUAGGACCAUACUGAGACAUAUAUUUUUGAACUGAUUAUGAACACUGAAAUUUCAAAUGUUUAUGGCAUACUGAGUAAUCUAUACUAAGACUCGGGGGCAUCAAACCCAAGUCUAUGUUGAAUAUGCACUAAGCUCACAACAUUCAGAAUAAAAGUCAUGAACGAGUUAUGAAGCUAGAGAAUAGAAGUUCUACAACUAUUUAAGGAACUAAGCUAAACUCUAUUUUUGAGGCAAUUAGUAACGUUGUAAAAGAAACGUAGUGUAGGGAGAAUCACUAAAAUUCCCAAACAUAGAGAGUUAGCCUCACAUACCUUAACUUCCUGCUCUAGAGCGUAAUACAACAUUCGCCAACCUUUUCAACUUUAAUCUAUAGCAAUGCAGGUCAAAGGGAUUCCAUAUUAGAAAUGACACUCAUAUUUUGGCUACUUAAGUAUUUGAUCAAACACUUGGUGACAAUAAAGCUUCAUAGUCCUUAUUAAUGGUGUCUCUACACCCAAUAAACCAUUCUCUUGCUCCUAGAUAAAUUCUAAAGUCUCAAAUAGUUAUAAUCAACAUCAUUUUUUAUCACUCAUAAGGUAAACAACACCCUUAACCAAUAAUCAACCAUCAACAACCCAAACCUAUAAUCGUUCAUGCUUUUCUAUCAAACCCAUCAACUCAUAUCUCAUGAACUAAAAUUCAAAGAUAGAAUCAAGAGGGUGAAGAUAUUGCCUUUUUGACGUUCAAUCCUUUUGAAUUCGAGUUUUAGGGUUUUUUCUCUCAAAAAUGAUGUCCCAAUCGAAUAUCUAAUAAUAUGGAGGGUUUACCCAUGUUAAUAAGGUAUUGGAGAAUUGAAAUAAACUUAGAACCACCAUUAGAACUUACCUUGGAUGGUGGAGGGACCUUUAAGGAGUUAGGUUUUUGAGAGCUUCCUUUUCUAGAGCAAGUUUUUAUGUUUUGGGACUGUGGGGGACGAAAUAGGACUAAAAAAUAACUUCCCAAGUCCACCACCACACCCCUGUAGGCCUGACCGCGGUCGCGGUCCGGACGUGGUGGUUGAGCACUAUUCUGUAAAACGCUCAUAACAUUUUGCACAGAGAUCUGUUCGGGCUCCAUAAUAUAUCGUUGAAAAGCUAUUUCAAAGGCCUACAACUUUCAUGCUUUGAGGUUUCCCAAAUUCCUUACACGUGUUUACUAAUCCUUGCUAGAAAACGGACCUUCUGCAACUUAGUCGAUUUUGUCGAAUCUUAUGCACCUCACUUUCCAUCUUGAUUUUGAAACAACUAUUUUCACCCAUACUCAUCCCGAUAGGACUUCAUAUGUCUAAAAUAUCUAAUUAAUGCCCAUUUAACACAUCCACACCUAGUCCGAAUAUACAUAGUGUUACACUUUCAAUAUUUUUUAUUUUUUAUUUGUAUGUACUUUUGUAUAUGAUAUUAUUAACUGAUAACUAAUCGCAAGUAAACAUUCAUUUUCUAUUUAAUGCACAUUUCUUCAUUUCAAUGGGCAUAUUUUGAGUAUAAUCACGUGUUCAAUAGGUCGAGUUCUUAGCUUAAGCGGCUAAAUAAAAUAUUCUGACAAGUUCAAAGGGUCAUCAACGAUUUGAACUUUGCACCGAUGCUAGAGAGAGGAUAAUUUUAUUUGCUUAUAUUAGAUAAAUAACCGGCUGGGGGUAGCACUGCGCUUUCAACUCAUUUACUAUAUUCAUCCAUGAUUAUGAGUUAGAGUUACACAUGGGCGUCGAGCCGAGUUCGAGUGAGCCCAACUGAGCCGAGCUCAACGAACUUUUUACAACAACAAGCCGAGCUCAAUCGAGCUUUGUUAAAGUAUAACUGAGCUCAAGCCGAGCCAAAGUUGGCUCUUAGAUGUUUAUUUCCGCAUAGUCCUACGCCAUUAAAAAAAGGUAAAUGCAUAGUAAAAUUGUUGAUUAAUGAAGUACAAGCAAUACUAGAUUAAAUUUGUAAUUGCAUUCUAAGUGUGUGACUGAAUUAUUUACAUUACUAGUUUAAAUUAGAGCUCACAUUCAAAUGGUUAUAGUAUUAGUUCUAUCACUUAAGGAAUCAAAACUUUAAUCCUCUGAAUAUAUAGGCUACGAAAGGGUAAAAAAUACUCUCUAUUAUGAACCCUCAACCCUAUGAAUCCUCUUCUUCAAUACCCCCAAACCAUCUGACAUUAACCUCCAAUCUGCAACACACCAGGAUGGUGGAGAAGCUAAAACGUCAUAUAAUUAAGGACAUGGUCACAUCUUCAGACCAUAUGGAUUUCACCCCAAAUGUUAACCAAUCCAACAUAGAGCUAUCUCGAUCUUUUUCAGAAGAAGGAGAAGCAACGGCAAAUUUAAUACACUACCCCACUCGAGGUAUUGAAUUGAUCACUCUUACGGAGGAGGAUAAACAAAGAAUUUAUGAACUAUGGCAAUGCUAUCAAACUGUUUGGCAAACGCAUGAUGCACCAAUACUUAAAAAAAGAAAAUUCAAGAGCUUUGGAGACCAACGGAAAUCUUCUCCUUAAUUGAUCUGGGAGAAGAUUAUUUUAUCAUCAAAUUCAAAAAAAAAAGAAAAAUAUGGAGAAAGCACUUCAUCAAGGCCCAUGGUUUGUAAAUGGCCAUUACCUUUCGGUGAUCAGAUGGAAACUAGACUUUGUGGCUACAAAUGAAACGCUAACUACCUCAGCAAUAUGGAUUAGAUUGCCACAAUUACCAACGAAGUUUUAUGAUGAAAAAAUAUUAGAAAAAAUUGGCAACUCCAUUGGUCGUCUACUGAAAAUUGAUGUUUGUACUUCAACAACUAUGAGGGAUCGCUAUGCUAGGCUCUGUGUGGAAAUUCCGUUGGAUAUCCAGUGCAACCAUUCAUCUAUAUUGGUACUCACAAGCAGUAUAUUAACUAUGAAGGAGAAAAUCUACUAUGUAUGAAUGUGGAAGGUUGGGACACCCCUCUACCAUGUGUAAGUUUAGCCAACAAAAUACAAUAUUAAACUCCUUCUCAGAUACUACUGCACCAAGGUCAAUCGAGGAGAACCAUGAGGGCGAAUGAAAAACUAUCACCUUCAACAAAGGCAAGAGACAUAAUAUGACAAAAAAUAUGGCAAGUAACCACACCCCAAAGGAGAAACUCCAAGGUCUAGGUAUCUCGGUAAAUCUAUAAAAUGCAAAUACAGGUAAGUAUAUCGACACUCAAGUUUUACAAUAUAAGACUAAAGAUCCUACUAAGAACAUUACAUCCAGGAAGAAUAUAGACAAAACCACUCUUCCAAUACAAAACCACUUUACCAUCCUAGAUGAAGAGCACAUGGUUUUGGAUAAAAUUAAAAUAACUGAAAAAUAUACUCCUCCUAAAACCUCCUAUGCAAUUAGCCAUUUGGACACAAAAGCAAUUGACGUGGCGAUACCAGACUCAUACGUUCCUACUUCUACUAGUAACGAAAAAAGUGACAUGCUUUUAGAUAUUAACAAAGAUAUCAUUAACCUUAAUACGACUACUAACUCUACACGGCAAGCCACUAAACAAACUAAUCAACAAACUACAAAUCCUCCUAUUACCGAUCAUAUAACCAACAAUCUUUCCCUAAAAAUUGAGAAUAUCAAACACCCAAAGCAUGUUAUUCACAUGGCUUCUAUUGAACCAAAUGAUAAACAAAUGGCCAUUCCUAGAGAACACGAUAAGGAUACCAAAUCCCUUCACAUUCACCCUAUAAAUCUAAAAGGUGACCAUUUAGAGGCCAUGCAAUAAGCCCCCCAAUCAUUACCUCUACCACCAAUCCCAUCCCCUAUAUUAAUAGCCCAAAUUCCACACUUGUUGGAAGCUCAUUAAAUCCCAAACACUCCACUCUAAAUGCCUCGUCUCUAAGAAGGAGGAACAGAUUAAUCCAAAUAAUAAGGUAACUCAGAAAUCCAACAAUGGAAAAUAUACCCCAAGCACCACCACAACCAGCAAAUCCUUAAGUGAUCUUUGUCCAACCCCCUUAAGCCCAAGACUACCAACCACUUUCGUAGAUGUAAAUGGGACUAAUGAGAUAUGUAGUCUCAUUCAUAAUCCAAGUCAAUGGCAAGGAGGCAAUAGUAAUCCUUCACAACACUUAAUACCUAGCACAACUGAUAUCAGAGGGGAUGAGUUUAGCAAUGAGCAAUUACCUGAACCAAAUUUGGAUCAACAAUAUUCUGCACCCUCUAGCACCAUCACUGAACCCCAAUCUAGUUCAAGCAUUGAUACAAUAAUGGAACAUACCACCUCACUUCAACUCAAUUCAACUAAAAAAUAUCCUCGCAGAUCUUCCCUUCAGAGAUGCUAACUCAUCUGAAUCCUAUCUUCAUGCCUUGGGAAAUCAAUCAUCAACCAUAGGAACAACCUCUCAAACAAGAGAACCCUUAUGGACCACCACCCCACCCACAUGCAAUGCAAGAACAAGACCAGGCAGAAGCAGAAAUGGAGGAAGAAGUAGAAGAACUCCUCAACCUAGCCUUAGACCAAGUCAUAGAAUUCUCAAAUCUAGACGGGGUAAAGGUGUUUCUAUUCAGGGAGAUGCAGGGGAAGAGGCAUGUACUCAACUUUCCCCUAGCACUUUACAAGUGCGCAUUGGACAUAAGGCCACCAUAGGACCCAACUAUGGGCAAUAGGGCCAUGAUACUUGUGCCAUCUUUACGAAGAAACCCUAUCUUUCCGGGGGGGGGGAGGGAAGAUGAGGAGGUAGUGAACGAAAAUCAAAAUCAUCCAAUGAAUCAUCCACCUAAUUUUAUUAUUUGGAAUAUACGGGGAGGGAACAAUGACAAUUUUAGAAGGAAUUUUAGGGAGAUGAUUGAUACUAAUCGACCCUGCAUGGUAACCCUACUGGAAACUAGGAUUAUUAAUCAUGAACAUUGGCUUGAGGACUUUGGUUUUACUGAGCUAAUUGAGGUUCCAGUGGAGGGUCAGUCAGGUGGUAUGGUUGUCAUGUGGAACCAUGAGGUGGUUACAGUCCACAAUUUCACUCAUAGGAACCAAAAAAUCCAUGCUACAAUUGAGGUAUUACCCAUUCAUAUGAGAAAUAUGGAGGGAGACCUAUUAAUAAUAGUAGCGCAUAAUUCCUUCUUUCUAAGAUUUCAAAUUGUAACCUUAUGUAUCUAGUCUAUAAAGGAUGUAAAUACACUUGGUCAAAUCAUAGACAUAAAAAUAAAGGAUCAAUUAUGGAAAGAUUGGACAAAGCCCUAGGAAAUAAAAAAUGGUGUGACCUAUUUCCAAACUAUUCCAUAAUUCAUUUACCUAAAACUUACUCAGACCAUAAUCUUAUUCUAAUAGAACUAAUCCCUAGAAGUAGACCUUUCCGCUUAGAGACCUAUUGGUGCAAACAUCCCGAUUUUCAAAAUCUUGUUAAAUCAAACUGGCUUGGUAAUGACUAUUUCAGGGCCAACAAUUCUUUUAUACAUAGUUUUAAAUCCUGGAAAAAUAGGACCUUUGGAUAUAUAAUGGGAAAAAAAAGGAAAUUAAUAGCAAGGCUCCAAGGUAUUCAGAAUUCUAGGAACUACACUAGUAGCACCUUCCUCCAAAAUCUAGAGAGAGUAACCUUAAGAAAGAAUAUAAUGACAUUCUCAAGAUUGAAGAGGAUUAUUGGAAACAUAGGUCAAUAAUAAUGUGGCUAAAUGAUGGGUAUGCGAAUAUAAAAUUCUUCCACAUAUCUGCCUCAAAUAGACGAAGGAAAAAUCAACUUACUUAUUUUAAGGACGAGGCAGGAAAUUGUAUCAAUGAUCAUCAAUUAAUCACUUCUCAUGUUUUAAACUACUUUACUAACACUUUUACAUCCUCUCAUACAUGUACCAAUUGGAAACACCUAGAGAUAAUAAACUCUAGUGGCACUUCAAUUGACCUAAAAUCCCUAGAUAAUACCCUAUUAGACAUUGAGGUCGAGAAGGCCAUAUUCUCCUUCAAACCUUUCAAACUCCCGAAGCCAGAUGGACUCCACCCUUUUUUCUAUCAGAGAUACUGGAAUAUCAUAGUCUAAUCAGUUACUAAAUUCUGCCAUGAUGUUUUCAAUACGCAGGUAAUGCCUAAGAAAAUCAAUAAAACAUUCCUUUGUCUGAUUCCUAAAGUUCCAAAUGCUAACAACAUUAAAAACUUUGGUCCUAUUGGCCUUUGUAAUACUAUCUACAAAAUUAUUACCAAAAUCCUGGCAAAUCAUCUCAAAUCUUUCAUAAAAAAAAUUAUUAGUCUUUACCAAGCCAGCUUCAUGAAAAAUUGAUGAGCCUCGGAUAAUGCUGUAAUAAUCCAAGAAUUAAUUGCUAACCUAAAAAAAUCAAGGGUAGGCAUGGCCAUAUGAUAUUAAAAAUAGACUUGGAAAAAACUUUUGACCAUAUAGAACGGUCCUUUAUGUAUCGUGCCCUUAGGUUUUUCAAAUUACCACCAAAAUUCUCUAACCUACUUCUUAGUUGUAUCUCAUCAAGCUCUAUUGCAAUACUAGUUAAUGGUUAUACCACAAAUUUUUUUGAACCUAGCAGAGGAAUUAAGCAAGGCGAUCCUCUUUCAUCUUACAUUUUCAUCCUUUGUCUAGAGUUGCUAUCUACGUAUAUUGAAAACCAGGUCAAUAUUUGCAAGUGGGAUCCAAUAACUAUAGGAAGAAAAAGCCCUAGCUUCUCCUAUUUAUUUUUUGCGGACGACCUCACUCUAAUGGCUAAGGCAAAUGAAAAUCAUGCCUUGCCAUUAAAACAUGUCUAGUCUAUUUUGCUCACUGUUCGGUCAAAACAUAAACCACUCCAAGUCAAAAAUUCUUUUCUCCCAAAACUGUAACUCUGCCAUCACAAAUUAUAUAAUCAAUACACAAGGUAUUAAGAGAAGUGAAAAUUUUGCUACUUACUUAGGGUUUCCAAUACUAAAUAAAAAUCCAAGUCCAAUUGAUUACCAGUUUAUAAUUGAUAAAAUAAGAUCCAGACUGGCCUUUUGGAAAAUGAAAUUCAUUAAUAUAGCUGGUAGAACCACUCUGGCUCAAUCAUGCCUCAACUCUAUUCCUAACUAUUACAUGUAAUAUACUAUUCUUCCAAAAAAGACCAUUAAAAUUAUUGACAAAGUUCAGAGGGACUUUAUUUGGGGUACCAAUGAGAGUAAAAGAAAACUACACCUAGUAAAAUGGACAAAAGUCUGUCAACCAAAGAUUUCAGGGGGGCUAGGCAUUCAUAGUGCAAAUACAAAAAAUUUGACUAACUUAGCUAGUCUAAUUUGGAGGCUUCUUACACAAGCAACCUCUACUUGGGCAAGACUGAUUAUUACCAAAUAUGGAUAGGUUUUGCUAAAAAAUAAACCAUUCCUUCAUCUGGAAGGCCAUCAUGAAGGGAUGAGAAUUGUGCAAUAAAGGUAUCACAUGGUCAUCCCACCUAAACUCAAACCUAAAUAUUUGGGACAUAAGAUGGAUCCCAAACUCCACAAACCUAAGAGGUUUAAUUAAAGGACCUAUUAUGCCAGAAACUCUCAAUCUUAAAAUUAAAGAUAUCUAAUACCAAUAGCAAGAUCUUACAAAACUUUCAAUAGAUAUUCCUUCCAAAAUUCAACAAAACAUCCUUAAGGUCAAAAUUCAUAAAAUUCACCCUUGAAUGAUUUUGCUAUAUGGUCUCCUUCAUCCAAAGGAACUUUUACUAGCAAAACUUGUUAUAACCUUAUUGAACCAAUGAUUGAAAAUCAGUAGGAUUUUGAUUGGAUUUGGUCUUCAUCAUGCCCAAAUAAGAUAAAAAAAAAUUAUGGCAAUGUCUCUAAAAUAGGUUACCUUGUAGGAAAUACGUAGCCCCGAUUGGAAUCAACAUUGACCCUAUAUGUCCUAUAUGUGAUAUGAAAGAGAAAGAAAUCAUCACCCAUAUUUUUCUCACUUGCAAAGUAAACAAAAUAUUUUGGGACAAUUUGGGAGGGAUAACCUUUUAUGAUCUCUCAAAGGGGCACUGGUUUGCACAAUUAAAAAAUCAAAGUUUCUCUAUAAGACACAAUCUUCUUGAAUGGAAUUAUAUCUUCCCUUUCACCCUAUGGGAAAUUUGGACUAACAGAAAUGCUAAUAAUCAAAACAAGUUGAGGAACGUUGUAAACAUAAAAAAUAUUACUCAACAAGCUGUGGAAUUCAAGCUGCUUACGGAGAAUAACCUAUUGCCCAUUGAAAGGAUUCAAUUAUAAAUUAAGUGGCAAAGGCCCCUAAAUGGAUGGUAUAAAUUAAAUAUUGAUGCAAGUCACAACAACUGCCAAAGUUCUCUAGGGGGAGUAUUCUGCAAUGCAGAUGGUCAAUGGAUUGUUGGAUUCACAAAGUACACACAUGCUAGGAGACCUCUGGAGGCAGAACUAAAGGCAAUAAAGGAAUGUUUCAAAACUGGCCAUGAGUGAAAUUUAUUCCCACGGGAAAUAGAGACAGAUUGUGCGGAGGCAAUUCAAAUUAUACAAUGUGGUAAUAGACAUUUUGAUAAUGUUGUUAAUAUUUGCAGGUCGUUAAUGCACCAAGGGAAGGUGACCCUGUUCCAGCACACAUUUAGGAAAGGCAAUAGUGUCACUUACACCAUGGCCAAAAUGGGAAGGACUCCAGGAAGGAAGAAAAAAGUUUUUGUAUCCCCUCCAAAUGUUGUUUUUAAUCUUGUUAAGUAUGACGUAGACAGUGAAUAUUGUUUUGUUAAAUACCUAUCUAUGGAUGCUUGCAAUAGAUUAGCAAGCCUAGGAAAUCAAUGUGUCCUAAGUGGUACACUAUAGGCCAUGAUGUAACAAACGUUGCGUAAAUUUUAAUAUAUAUGUUUUCCUGUUUGCUCAACAAAGAAAAGGGUUAUAGUAUUAUCAUUUUAUUCAUUUUUUUGUUUCCUUUUAUCUCAUUUAUCACUCUAAUUUUUGUACUCCUUGUCGUACUAUUCUUAUGGAUGGGUUGAUCGUGGAUUGAAUUAUCAAUUAAAGUAAAUUCAAUUUUAUUUAAUUAUAUCAUCUAAAUUGAACUUAAUGUAUAUAUAUGACAAAUUGUUGUCACUAGACAUGUAUUUGAUCUUUAAUUUGUUAUUUCUGCAUUCCUUGAUAGUGUAUUUCCAAUAUUUAUUUAAUGUUUAAAAGAGACAUUGAAACUGCACAAUCCCAGAGUUUCUAAAAUUUCAUUCAGGGUGACUAAUUUUUUUCAAUAGAUUAAAAAGGAUCAACGUAACCUUUCAUUAUUUUUUAUUUUUUAUUUAUACGUACAUUUGUAUAGAAUAUUAUUGUCACGACCCAAAACCAAUCCGUCGUGAUGGUGCCUAUCAUAGUACUGACAAGCCGACUACUCAGACAUUUCCAUCACUUUAAAUCUUUGAAAGAUACAGAAACAAUUAAUUAAAGGAAAAAUCUUUUAAUAACAAGAUAGGAAGUCAUAAUUCAGUACAUAAUCUCUCCCAAAAUCGGGGUGUCAUCAAGUACAUAAGAAUCUACAUAGGGAUAUAGUCUGGUACACCGUCUAAAAAAUAAGACUGAAAGAUAAAAUGAAAGAUACGGGAGGAGAGUUGAGGUCUGUGAAUGCCAAGCAACUACCUCAAUGAUAUCUUAAUGUCCGGACUCCGCAACUCAGCAACCGCCGUGACUGGAAGCAGCUGGAUCUGCACAUGAGGUGUAGGGUGUAGCGUGAGUACAACCAGCUCAAUACGUAAUAAAUCUAACCUUUGGACUGAAAGUAGUGACGAACUCAGCAGGUACAAUUUAAUGUAAAAAUGACAGUACAGAAAUGUAGGCAUGUUUUCAAGUUCAUCAGAUAAAAACUUAAUACCAGUAAAAUAGAUCAACUCUGAAUGAUAUGAGGGAUAUGACAUUUCUAUAUCUACAUGCCAUUGUGCAUGUUGUAUGUGAUGCACUAUAAUGGAAGCCUCGCGUACUCGCACUCCCAUAGUGCUCAAUCACUCAGUACUGUAUAUGGCCAAUCCAGUCUAGGGAAAAUCCAUCCCAAUAUAUAUAUAUAUCAACUGACAUCCAGUCACUCAGUACUGCAUAAGGCCAAUCCAGCCCACGGAAAAUCCAUCCCCAAAAUAUAAAUGAUUCGAGCAAGAUCCAUGCCCGGGGGAAGAUCCAUCCCUCAAUAUAAAUCAACUACGCUCACUGUGGGGGUGCAGACUUCGGAGGGGCUCCUUCAGCCCAAGCGCUAUAAUAAGCCAGAUCAAUGCAUAAAUAAAUAAAAUAUGAUGCAGCGUACAGCCUGAUCCCAUAAAUAUCACUCACAAUUAGGCCCUCUGCCUCACUCAGUCAUCAAUCUCUCCCGUCCCUCUGGCUCACAACGCUCAUACUAAGUAGCCCUAAUCAAUGAUAUGAGAUGUGACAAUACACAAUAACAGAGACUAAGAUGUGAUAUGAAAUGAUGAAUAAGAUUGAGUACAUAAACACAAUUUAACAAAUAAUUCAAUAGCAAAGAAUGACACCUAUGGGUCCCAACUACACCAGCAUAUAGCCUAAACAUGAUUCCCAGCAUGGAUCAUAGCUUAAGUGAUCUAACACAUAGAAUAUAGUAAGAAGGUUCAGAUAAAAUGGCUACGCAGCUCCAGGGUAAUGACUAAAUCACAAUUUCUACGAUGCACGCCCACACGCCUAUCACUUAGGAUGCAUGUCACCUCAACAUCUAUCACAUAACAUAAAAUUCGGGGUUUCAUACCCUCGAAACCAAGUUUAGAAGCAUAACUUACCUCAAGUUAUGCAAAUACCUGCUCCGACAAGCCCCUGCCUCGCGAAAUGGCCUUCAAAUACCUCAAAUCUAGUCACAAACAGGUCGAUACAAUCAACACGAGCUAAAGGAAUCAAAUCCAUAAGAAAAUACUAAGAUCUUAAUCAAAAGUCAAAAAGUCAACUAAAAAGUUGGCCCUCGAGUCCACGUCUCAAGAUCGAGUAAAAGUUACAAAAUCCGAACAUUCAUUCAACCACGAGUCCACCCAUACCAAAAUUACUCAAAUCCGAUACCAAAAUCUUGAUCAAAAUCUCAAAAUUCGGCCUAAGAAAUUUCCAUCUUUUCCCCAAUUUUCCUUCCAAAAUCACUAAUUUAAUGAUGAAAUCAAAGACAUAAACAUGGAAAAUAACGAAAACUAAGUAAGAAUCACUUACCCCAAUCAACUCCUUGAAAAUCCCCUCAAUAAUCGCCCAAAUCCGAGGUCUCUAACUCAAAAUAUGAAAAAUUGGUUCAAACCCUCAUUUUUUAAAAUAUUUAAAUCUGCCAGGUAUCCUUUUUUCAUGAUUGUGGGAAAAUCUUCGCGAUCGCGAAGCACAACCUUUACUCCAGAAAAUCCUCUAGGAGACCACACAAGAACACACGCGAACACGAAGCACAGACUUCCUAGGCCUAUAUGAUUGCGGACGGCCCACACAUUCGCAUAAAAUAGCGUGUGUGAACCCUAGCUCCUCACUUUGAAAACGCGGCCUAGCUCACGCGUUCGCGAUGCACUGAUUCCCCUAACCUACGCGAUCGCAUGCCAUAACUGGCGAUCGCAUUGAACAAAGCAUGACAGCUUCUCCAACUAGCCUAUGCAAUCCCUGUCAUGACCCGGAUUUUUCACUGUAGGGAUAGUGAUGACGCCUAACUCUUAUAAUGUUAGGCAAGACAACAGAUACAGUUCUAACACAUUAAUCAUUAACCAAAAAAAAUAUGAAGUGCAGAAAUUUUAACAGUUUAAAAUACUAAUGCAUGACUACCCCAAAGAUCUGGUGUCACAAUCCACGAACUUCUAAGAAUUUUCUAUAAAUAUUGGUUUAAAAAAAUACAUUUGAUCCAGAAAUACAAGAAAAGAGGGAAACUAGGAUAUAAGGAAGAGUACUCCAGGGUCUACCAACGCCGGCAGAUCUACUUUGGGUCUCUUUUGGACUAAAGGCACCAACCCAAACUAUGAUCAGUGCGGUUUAGUACCGGGAUCUGCACAGAAAGUGCAGAGUGCAGCAUCAGUACAACCGACCCCAUGUACUGGUAAGUAUCGAGCCUAACCUCGGUAAAGUAGUGACGAGGGUAGGACAUAACAAAUAAUAUAAACCAGUGCAUAUAAAUCAUAUACGAGAAAUAACAAUAACGGAAAUUAACAGAUAAUAACGUGAAGGGGGAACACAUGCUAAGGGGACUAUGAAUAUUCUGAAAAUAGUACAGUACAGAAACACAGUAAAUAUCAUGCUUUCAACCAACGAAAGUAAUAACACAAUAAUCACGUGCACGACAUCGCCCUUUGUGCUUUUACUCUCGUCCUUACCAUAAGAACCAACAGAAAUGGCACGGCAUCACCCUUCGUGUAUUAACUCUCUCAUAAUCAUGGCACGACAUCACCCUUCAUGCAUUAUCAAAAUCAGAAUACGGCACGACAUCACCCUUCGUGCUUUACACUCUUCCUCACCCAAACAACAGAAACAAUCACAACCCGACAAGGGAAUCAUAAAUAAACAACCUUGUUUCAUCAUUUAACUUAACAAUAUAAAUUUCAACAUUAAUCAAUACUCAACCAACUUCCAAAAUUGGGAAAAACAUAAUAAAACUUGUUUAACAUGAAUAUUUAAUCAGUUGAAGCAUGAAUGGUAUGUAAUAAGGAAUACAACAGUCACAAGUAUAAGACUCACUCCCAUGAUAUGACCCGACAACAAUGAAUAGAUACUCGUUACCUCACCUAUACGUCGUACUCAGCAACUAAACACGUAGCAAAUAAGGCAACAACACCUAAUCCCUCAAGUUAAGGUUAGCCACAACAUUUAACUCGAUUCCACAGACCAAACUCAUUCCUCAAAUACUGCUUUUCCUGUAUAUUCCACCUCCAAUCUACUCGUAUCUAGCCACAUUUAUCUCAAUAUCAACAAUUAUUGCUAAAGGAAUCAACUACAAUGCAUAAAUUUAGUUUUCCCAAACUUUUCCCCCAAAGGACAAAAAUCGACCCCGGGCCCUGCUUGGUCAAAACUCGAUGUUCGGACCAAAACCCAUUCACCCAUGAGCCUAAAUAUGUAAUUUGUUUCGAAAUCCGACCUCAAAUUGAGGUCUAAAUCCCAAUUAUACAAAAAAAAACUCUAAUUCUACCCAAAUCUCUAAUUUCUACCAUGAAACCCCUAGAUUUUUCGAUGAAAAUUGAUGCAAUGCAAUGGGUAAUUGAAAGAAUGUUGUUUAGAAUCAUAUACCAAAACUUUGGGGAAGAUCUUUUCUCUUGAAAAUCGCCUCUAAGAUCCCUUGGUUUUGAAAAUAUGAAAGAAUGGCUAAUUCCCGUUUUGAGUUCUGUUUUUAAAACACUGGACAGGCCUUCAUCGCAUUCGCAAAGCAUUGCGGCCAGAGGGCCUUCGCGUUCGCAAUGAGUUUCUCGUGUUCAUGAUGGUCCUUCCCCUCUGACCAUCGCGUUCGUGGGCCCUGGACCGCCUUCGUGAAGAACAACUCAGAGAUUCCCUAGCCCAUUCCCUUUUUACUCUAAGCAUUCGCGAGAUGCCGAUCGCGUUAGUGAAGAGCAGCCCCCCAGUGCUCCACAUUCGCUACCAUGGCUUCGCGUUCGUGAAGAUCAAUCCCCUACCCAUCCUAGGUUGCACUUCGCGUUCGGAGAGUUGCUUCGCAAACAUGAAGCACAAGGUACCAGCAUACCAGAAGCAACAACACAGCAGAAAUUUCUAAGUUUAAAACAUCUCGUAGCCUAUCCGAAACUCACCUGAGCCCUCGAGGCCCCAAACCAAAUAUGCACACAAGUCUAAAAACAUCAUACGGGCUUGCUCGUGCGAUCAAAUCGCCAAAAUAAUAUCUAAAACUACGGAUUUAGAAUCAAAAUCAAUGAAAUUCUCAAGAACACUUAAGUUUCUAUUUUCACAACUGAGGGGCCGAAUCACGUCAUAUCAAAUCCAUUUCUCACCAAAUUUCACAGACAUGACUUAAAUAGCAUAUUAAACCUAUACUGGGCUCCGAAAUCAAAAUAUGGUCCUGAUACCAACAAGAUCAAACAUUAUUCAAUUUUCAAAAAACCAUUAUAUUUUCAGUUUAACAAUUUUUUUCAAAAUUUCAUUUCUCGGGUUAGGGACCUCGAAAUUUGAUUCUAGGCAUAUGCCCAAGUCCCAAGGCUUUUCGAAACACGCUCAGAAUGAGCACAAAAAUCGAUGAGAAAGAAAAGGAGGUCUUGAAGGCCUCGGAACCCCGAAUUGGGUUCUAAAACACGAGAUGACCUUUUGGGUCAUCACAUUCUCCACCUAUAAAAAAAUCGUUCAUCCUCGAACAGAUAUAGAAAAGUGCCUGAGCUAGAUAAAAGAUGAGGAUAUUUUCUUUGCAUAUCGGACUUAAACUCCCGGGUAGGUGCCUCAACAGGCUAACCUCUCCACUAUACACGAACCAAAGGAUAACUCUUCGAUCUCAACUGACAAACCUGCCUGUCUAAAAUGGCUACCGGCUCCUCCUCAUAGGUCAAAUCCUUGUCCAGCUGGACAGUGCUAAAAUCUAGUAUGUGGGAUGGAUCGCCGUGAUACUUCCGAAGCAUGGACACAUGAAACACUGGAUGUACCGCUGAUAAACCUGGCGGCAAUGCAAGUCUGUAAGCCACCUCUCCCACUCGAUCAAAGAUCUCAAAAGGCCCGAUGAACCUAGGGCUUAACUUGCCCUUCUUCCCAAAUCUCAUCACGCUCUUCAUGGGCGACUCCCAAAGCAACGCUCACUCUCCGACCAUGAAUACCACAUCACGAACCUUACGGUCGGCAUAACACUUCUGCCUGGACUUAGUUGUACGAAGUCUAUCCUAAAUGAUCUUAACCUUAUCCAAGGCAUCCUGCACUAAGCCUGUACCCAAUAAUCGAGCCUCCCCCGGCUCAAGCCAUCCAACUAGUGUCCAACACCGCCUACCAUAUAAUGCCUCAUAGGGAGCCAUCUGGAUGCUCGACUGAUAACUGUUGUUGUAGGCAAACUCCGCUAACAGCAAGAACUGAUUGCAAGAACCUCCAAAGUCAAUGACAGAUGCGCGGAGCAUAUCCUCUAAAAUCUGAAUAGUACGCUCGGACGUGUAAGGAUGAAAUGUUGUGCUCAACUCGAUCCGUGUACCCAACUCACGUUGAACUGCCCUCCAGAAAUGCGAGGUAAACUACGUACCUCGAUCAAAAAUGAUAGACACAGGCACACCAUGGAUACGAACAAUCUCACGGAUAUAAAUCUCUGCCAACCGCUCCAAAGAAUAGGAAACUGCCACCGGAAUAAAAUGUGCUGACUUAGUCAGCCUAUCCACAAUGACCCAUACUACAUCGAACUUUCUCUGAGACUGUGAUAGUCCAACAACAAGUCUAUAGUGAUAUGCUCCCACUUUCACUCAGGAAUCUCAAUCUUCUGUAGCAAACCACCAGGUCUCUGAUGCUCGUACUUUACNNNNNNNNNNNNNNNNNNNNNNNNNNNNNNNNNNNNNNNNNNNNNNNNNNNNNNNNNNNNNNNNNNNNNNNNNNNNNNNNNNNNNNNNNNNNNNNNNNNNNNNNNNNNNNNNNNNNNNNNNNNNNNNNNNNNAGAAUCAACUCACGAAGCCCAUCCACAUUAGGCACACAAAUACGAUGCUGCAUCCUCAAAACUUUGUCAACUCUAACUGUAACCUGCUUGGCAUCUCCGUGCUGCAUUGUGUCCCUUAGGACAAGCAAACAAGGGUCAUGAUACUACAUAUCUCUGAUACGCAUAAAUAAUGAAGAUCGAGCGACUGUACAAGCUAGAACACGACUGGGCUCCAAACGUCCAACCUCACGAACUGAUUGGACAAAGCCAGAACAUCCAAUUCAAGCGGUCUCUCACUGACUGGAAUAUACACAAGGCUACCCAUACUAGCCGACUUCCUACUCAAAGCAUCAACCACUACAUUGGCCUUCCCGGGAUGAUACAAGAUGGUGAUAUCAUAGUCUUUCAAUAGCUUCAACCACCUCCUAUUCCUCAAAUUGAGCUCCUUUUGCUUGAACAAGUACUGCAAACUCUUAUGAUCCGUGAACACUUCACAUAACACGCCAUAUAGAGAAUGCCUCCAAAUCUUCACUGCGUGAAUAAUGGCUGAUAGCUCCAAGUCAUGAACUGGAUAAUUCUUCUCGUAAAUAUUCAACUAUCGUCAAAGAAUAUGUAAUAACCUUGACAUUUUGCAUCAACACCGCACCAAGUCCAAUACGAGAUGCAUCACAAUAUACGGUAUAUGGCCCUGAACCUGUAGGCAACACCAACACCGGUGCCAUAGUCAAGGUUGUCUUAAGCUUUUGAAAGCUCGCUUCACACUCGUCCUACCAUCUGAAUGGGGCACCUUUCUAGGUCAACCUGGUCAUCAGGGCUGCUAUGGAUGAAAACCCCUCCACAAACUACCGGUAAUAACCCGCCAAACCCAAGAAACUGCGGAUCUCUGUAGCUGAUAUGGGCCUAGGCCAGUUGAAUACCAUCUGUUGAUACUACAUGACCCAAGAAUGCAACUAAACUUAACCAAAACUCACAUUUCGAAAACUUAGCAUAUAACUGGUUGUACCGUAGAGUCUGAACAAUGACUCGAAGAUGCUGCUCAUGCUUCUUUCGGCUGCCAGAGUAUAUCAAGAUAUCAUCAAUAAAACAAUCAUGAAGGAAUCCAAAUAGGGCUUGUACACUCACUUCAUCAAAUCUAUGAACGCUUUUGGGGCAUUUGUCUACCCAAAUGACAUCAAUAGAAACUCGUAAUGCCCGUACCGAGUGUGAAAAGCUGUCUUAGGGACAUCAGAUGCCCUAAUCCUCAACUGAUGGUAGCCAGACCUCAAAUCAAUCUUCGAAAAUACCUUGGCACCCUGAAGCUGAUCAAAUAAGUCAUCAAUCCUCGGCAAUGGAUACUUGUUCUUGAUGGUGACUUUGUUCAACUAUCAAUAAUCUAUGCACAUCCUCAUCGAUCCAUCCCUUUUCUUCAAAAAUAACACCGGCGCACCCCAUGGUGAGGCGCUGGACCUAAUGAAGCCCUUAUUAAGCAUGUCUUGAAAGUGCUCCUUCAAUUCUUUCAACUCUGGCGGGGCCAUACGAUAUGGCGGAAUAGAAAUGAGCCGAGUGCCCAAAGACAAAUCCAUGAAAAAGUCAAUAUCCCUGUUGGGUGGCAUCCAUGGCAAGUCUUCAAAAAAUACCUGUGGAAACUCACGAACAAAUGGUAUGGAAUCCAUGGAAGGAACCUUUGUACUAGAAUAAAAAACAUAAGACAAAUAAGCCAAACACCCCUUCUCGACCAUACGCCGAGCCUUCAUAUAAGAAAUAACCCUACUGGUAGACCUACCAGGAGUCCCUCUCCACUCCAAUCGAGGCAACCCCAACAGGCUAAGGUCACAAUCUUGGCAUGACAGUCCAAUAUAGCAUGAUAAGGUGAUAGCCAAUCCAUCCCCAAAAUGACAUCAAAAUCGACCAUAUCAAGAAGUAGAAAAUCUAUACAGGUCUCAAGACCCCUAAUAAUAACCACUCACGAGCGAUAGACAUGAUCUACAAUAAUAGAAUCACCCACCGGUGUGGACACAUAUACAGGAGCACUCAAAGAGUCAUGAGCCACAACCAAAUAUGAAGCAAAGUAAGAUGACACAUAGGAGUAUGUAGACCCUAGAUCAAAUAUAACUGAAGCAUCUCUACUGCAAACUGAAACCAUACCUAUGAUAAUUGCAUCGGAUGCCUCAGCCUCAGGCCUGGCUGGGAAAGCAUAACAUUGGGGCUGGGCCCCACCACUCUGAACUACAUCCCUGGGAUGGCCUCCUGCUGGCUGGCUUCCACCUCUAGUGGCUUGACCUCCACCUCUAAUACCUCGACCUUCACCUCUAGCUAUCUGACCCCUACCUCUACCUAGUUGGGUGGGCGGUGAAACCCCCGGUACCAGAACCAUAGCACGAGAACCUUGAUACUGAGAACUGGUCGAUGCUCGAGGGCAAUACUUGGCGAUGUGCCUAGGAUCUCCACAAGUAUAACACGACCUCGGCUGCUGAGAGUGCUGAACCUAAAACAGACCCUGACUGCCUGAGUAACUACCCUGAAAACUCUGGAGUGGAGGUGCACUAAUAGGAGUUGGUGAUGCACUGUAGAGUAGCUGACCAGAAUACUGCAUAUGAGGACCACGUCCACCUGAAUCACCAUGAGAAGCCUGAAGUGCUUAAUGAAACGACUUGGGAGUAUGGCCUCUACCAAAAGAAUCCCUGCCUCCAGAUGAGGUACCACUGAACCUACCAGAAUGACGAGGCCUCUUGUCAAACCCCUGAGCACUCCCCUGAGCUUGAACUACCUCAACUCACCUGGCCACAUUGGCGGCAUCUUGAAAAGAGUCUCCUUAGCAUCUGCAAUCUGAUAGGCUGAGUGAGUCCCUCAAUAAACGUCCUGACUCUCUCUCUCUCUCUCUCUCUCUCUCUCUCUCUCUCUCUCUCUCUCUCUCUCUCUCCCUCUCUCUCUCGGUGGGGAGUAUAAGCAGAGCAUGACAAGCCAAAUCAACAAACCUAGUCUCGUACUGAGUGACAGUCAUAGAACCCUGUUGAAGACGCUCGAACCGCCUACGGUAGUCCUUUCUCUAAGUGAUAAGAAGGAACUUUUCGAGAAAUAACUGAGAGAAUUGGUCCCAAGUCAAGGCAAGCGACCCAACUUGUCUAGUCAACACAAAAUCAUUCCACCAUCUCUUGCCAGACCCUAUCAUCUAGAAUACAACAAAGUCGAUCCCAUUGGUCUAUACUAUCCCUAUGUUCAGCAAUACCUCGUAGCAGCGGUCAAGAUAAUCUUGGGGGUCCUUAGAAGCUGCCCCACUGUAAUGAACCGAGAAAAGCUUGGUGAACUUGUCCAACCUCAACAAAACCUCAAAAGACAUUACUGAUCGAGCAACUGCCUGUGCCGCUAUAGGUGGCUGAACUACUCUAACUAGCUGAGUUGACGGAGUCUGAAACUAAGGAGCCAUCUGCUCCGGAGUGUGGGUAGCAGGAGUCUAUGCUCCUCCUCAAGCCUGAGAGUCGGUUGGUGCUACAAGGAAUGUGCCGGUCUGAGUUACACUCUCCAUCAGGCCCAAUAGACGGACCAAAGCAACUUGAAGCACUGGGUGGCUAUGAACCCCCUCGAGCCUAAGCUGGUCCUGUUGGAACUAUUUGGGAUGGAGCCUCCUCCUCAAACUCUGCCUGAGACUCCGCCGCUGGUGCUGCUGCUCGAGCUCUAGGCUGAGCCCUGCCCCUACCUCGGCCUCUAGCACAUCCUCGGCCUCGUCCUCUAGCACGGCCUCGGCCUCGUCCUCUGCCCCUCAUAGGAGCUGCCAUUGGGGGCUCGAGCUUCUGAUCAGCUGAUGAAGAGAUACUUGUUCUCGCCAUCAGCGAUAGUACAGUGUAGAAGUUCAAUUAGCAUUGAGAAAUCAAAUCGCGUGACAGAGAAGAAUAGAUGUGAAGUUAUUCCUAAACUCUGUAACCUCUGGGGGAUAAGCACAGACAUUUUUGUACCAAACCCUCAGAUUCUACCUAGCUAGUUCAUGAAUUGUGAGACCUAGGAAACCUAGUGCUCUGAUACCAACUCGUCACGACCAGGAUUUCCCACCGUCGGGAUCAUGAUGGCGCCUAACUCUUAGAAUGCUAGGCAAGCCAACAGAUACAGUUCUAACACAUUAAUCGUUAACCAAAAAAAGGUAAUUAACAAUAAUUAAAACUAAAUAUAUAUGAAGUGCGGAAAUUAUAUAACAGUUUAAAACACUACUACAUGACUACCCCGAAGACCUGGUGUCACAAUCCACGAACUUCUAAGUAUUUUCUACAAAUACUGGUUUAUAAGAAAUAAAUCUGUUUCGGAAAUAUAGGAAAAUAGGGAAACUAGGAUAUAAGGAAGGGGACUCCAGGGUCUGCGAACGCCGUCAGAUCUACAUUGGGUCUCCUGUGGACUGAAGGCAACAACCUAAACUAUGAUCAUUGCGGUCCAGUACUGGGAUCUGCACAGAAAGUGUAGAGUGUAGUAUCAGUACAACCGACCCCAUGUACUGGUAAGUGUCGAGCCUAACCUCGGCAAAGUAGUGACGAGGGUAGGACAUAACAAAUAACAUAAACUAGUGCAUAUAAAUCAUAUACGAGAAAUAACAAUAAAAGAAAUUAACAGAUAAUAACGGGAAGGGGGAACACAUGCUAAGGGGACUAUGAAUAUUUUGAAAAUAGUACAGUACAGAAACACAGUAAAUAUCAUGCUUUGAACCAACAAAAGUAAAAACAUAGUAAUCACGUGCACGACAUCACCCUUAGUGCUUUUACUCUCAUCCUUACCAUAAGAACCAAUAGAAAUGGCACGACAUCACCCUUCGUGCAUUAACUCUCUCAUAAUCCUGACACGGCAUCACCUUUUGUGCAUUAUCAAAAUCAGAAUACGUCACGAUAUCACCCUUCGUGCAUUAACACUCACAAAAUAUGACACGGCAUCACCCUUCAUGCUUUAUCACUCUCUCACAAAAUAUUGCACGUCAUCAUCCUUCGUGCUUUACACUCUUCCUCACCUAAAUAACAGAAACAAUCACAACCCGACAAGGGAAUCAUAAAUAAACAACCUUGUUUCAUCAUUUAACUUUAAAAUAUAAAUUUCAACUUUAGUCAAUACUCAACCAACAUCCAAAGUUGGGAAAAACAUAAUAAAACUUGUUUAACAUGAAGAUUUAACCAGUUAAAGCAUGAAUGGUACGUAAAAAGGAAUACAACAGUCACAAGUAUAAGACUCACUCAUAUUCUAUGACCCGACAAAAACUUAUAUAAACUAGUCACCUCACCUAUACGUCGUACUCAACAAGCAAACAGGUAGAAAAUAAGGCAACAACACCUAAUCCCUCAAGCUAAGGUUAGCCACAACACUUACCUCAAUUCCACGACUAAACUCAAGCCUCAAAUACCACUUUUCCUUUAGAUUCCACCUACAAUCCACUAGUAUCUAGCCACAAUUAUCUAAAUAUCAACAAUUAUUGCUAAAGGAAUCAACUACAAUGCAUAAAUUUAGUUUUUCCAAACUUUCCCCCGAAAAGUCAAAAACCGACCCUGGGCCCGCUUGGUCAAAACUUGAGGUUUGGACCAAACCCCAUUCACCCAUUCACCCACGAGCCCAAAUAUGUAAUUUGUUUUGGAAUCCGACCCCAAUCGAGGUCUAAAUCCCAAUUAUACAAAAAGCCCUAAUUCUAUACAAAUCUCGAAUUUCUACCAUGAAAACCCUAGAUAUUUGGAUGAAAAUUUAUGGAAUGCAAUGGGUAAUUGAAAGAAUAUGGUUUAGAAUCAUAUACCAGCACUUUGGGGAAGAACUUGUCUCUUGAAAAUCGCCUUUAAGCUUCCUUGGUUUUGAAAAUAUGAACAAAUGGCCAAUUCCCAUUUGAGUUUUGUUUUUAAAAUACUGGACAGGCCUUCUUUGCGUUCGCAAAGCAUUGCGGCCAGAAGGGCCUUCACGUUCGUGAAGAGUUGCUCGCGUUCGUGAUGGUCCUUACCCCCUGACCAUCGUGUUCGCGGGCCUUAGACCGCAUUUGCGAAGAACAACUCAGAGAUUCCCCAGCCCACCCCCUUUUUACGCUACGCGUUCGCGAGAUGCUGGUCACGUUCACGAAGAGUAGCCCCCCAGUUCUCCGCGUUCGCGACCAUGGCUUUGAAUUCGCGAAGAUCAAUCCCCUUCCUAGCCCAGGUUGCAUUUCGCAUUCACGAGAGUUGCUUCAUGAACGCGAAGCACAAGGUACCAGCAUACCAGAAGCAGUAACACAUGAGAAAUUUCUAAGUUUAAAACAUCUCGUAGCCUAUCCAAAACUCACCCGAGCCCUCGGGGUUCCAAACAGAAUAUGCACACAAGUCUAAAAGCAUCAUACGGACAUGCUCGUGCGAUCAAAUCACAAAAAUAACAUCUAAAAUUACGGAUUUAGCAUCAAAAUCAAUGAAAUUCUCAAGAACUCUUAAAGUUUCUAUUUUCACAACCGAGUGUCCGAAUCAAGUCAUAUAAACUCUGUUUCUCACCAAAUUUUACAGACAUGACUUAAAUACCAUAUUAAACCUAUACCGGGCUGGAGAACCAAAAUAUGGGCCCGAUACCAACAAGAUUAAACAUUAUUCAAUUUUCUAAAAACCAUUAUAUUUUCAAUUUAAUAAUUUUCUUCAAAAAUUCAUUUCUCGGGCUAGGUACCUCGAAAUUCGAUUUCGGGCAUACUCCCAAGUUCAAUAUUUUACUACGGACCCACCAAGGCUGUCAAAACACUAGUUCGGUCCAUUUACUCAAAAUAUUGACCGAAGUCAAUUUAAAUUAAUUUUAAAGGCAAAACUUAGUAUUUUCUCAAAUUUUCACAUAAAGGCUUUCUGGAAAUGUGCCCAGACUGCGCACACAAAUCGAGGGGAAAGAAAAUGAGGUCUUGAAGGCCUCAAAACCCCGAAUUGGAUUCUAAAAUACGAGAUGACCUUUUGGGUUGUCACAAUCUCGGACCUUCCCACGCGAUCGCGUAUAAGGAAAUAAGAUUAGUGUACCAAAAAAUUCUAGAAAUUCUCUAAGACCAAAAAUUGAUCUGUUAACCAUCUGAAACUCACCCGAGGCCACCGGGAGCUCAACCAAACAUACCAACAACUCCAAAAAUAUCACAUGAACUUAUUCGAGCCUUCAAAUCACAUCAAGCAAUGUUAAAACCAUGAAUCGCGCAUCGGUUCAAGCCUAAUGAACCUUUGAAGUUCUAACUUCUACAUUCGAUUUUGAAACCUAUCAAAUCACGUUCGAUAGACCCCAAAUUUUGCACACAAGUCACAAAUGACACCAUGGGCCUACUCCAACUCCCGGGACCCAAAUCCAAACUUGCUAACCACAAAGUUUACUCUUAGUGAAACUUCGAAUUUCCAACUUUCGUCAUUCAAGCCUAAUUAAACUACGGAGCUCCAAAUCACUAUUCGGACACUCAUCUCAGUCUAAAAUCACCGGGCGGAGCUAACAGAACCAUCAAAACUCUAUUCUGGAAUAGUUUACACAUAUGCCAACAUCUUGUCAACCAUUUCAACUUAAGCUUUUAACCUUGAGACUAAGUGUCUCAACUCAUUUCGCAACCUCUCCGGACCCAAACCAACUACCCCGACAAGUCACAUAACAACCGUAAAGCAUAAAACAAAUAAUAAAUUGGGGAACGAGGCUACAACUCUCAAAACAACCGACCGAGUCGUUACAAUUAUCCACUGAUAACUAAUCUCAAGUAAACACUCAUUUUCUAUUUCAAUGUAUAUUUGUACAUUUCAAUAGGCAUAUUUUGAGUAUAGUCACAUGUUUAAUAGGUCGAGUACUUAGUUUAAGUGGCUAAAUGAAAUAUUCUGACAAGUUGAAGGAGCCUUCAACGAUUUGAACUUUCCACCUCUGCUAGAGAGAGGAUAAUUGUAUUUGUGUAGAUUAGAUAUAUAACAGCCAGUGGGUACCACUACACUCCCAACUCAAUUACUAUAUUCUCCCAUGGUCGUGAGUUAGAGGUAGGGUAGAUACCGAUCUCGGGCCGGUCUUGGCUCUUGAUCAAUGACUCUCUUAGAUUUGUCAUCGGGCUUGAUAGGGUAAACAAAUCUGGAAGGACCCCCGAGCUGAUCGCCCUAGACCUAAUCUUCCACAGAUCUGGAAGGGGCCCCCGCCUUCGGGCGCUUCCCGAGCUGUUGGUCGGGGUUCCCACAAAUACUAUUUUCGGGAUCAGUUGAAAAAUUGAUGUUAAUGGCCACCUGCGAGUUAAAAUCGACCGGAUUGGCAACUAGGACACCCUUGGGAUCGGCAGGAGGCACCUUGUUGUUGGGCACCAAAUUAUUAUUUUUGCCCUGAUGGCCAAACUCAGCGUCAACAUUCAAGAGAGUAGACUGAGAGUUUGAAAUUUUUGGGCUGUUCUGAAAUUAAGACUUCAAUGAACAAGCAUAAAAUAGGGUGUGUUAUGGGGAUUCGUAUUAAAUCACCACUAUUAUCUCUAACCCCACGGUGGGCAUCAAACUGUUUACCCCAAAAUUUGGUGAUAAUUAAUUUACAUGUGGUUUUAAAAAUAUAUGAUUUAAUCUAAUACGAACAAUUAAGAAUAUCAAAUAAGUGAGUUAGGAAUGAAAUAAAAGUUCAAACUUGUUGCAAUACUAUGAUUAAGCCAAAAUUUAGAUUGAACAAUGAAUUCGUGCUCGAUUGGACCCUUAAUUCGAGCCCAGUCCUGAAUGAAGAGCACAAUAAGUCAACAAGAACUUUAACAGUAGCUAAAAAGAUAGAAAAUAAGAUUGCAUUGAUUUGAUUUGCUUGUUACAAUACAUGUUAUAAAAGAAAAACUUCCGCUUUAUAUAGUAAGAAAGUGUCAUCCCUAGUAUAAACCUAAAAAGGGAAAAAAAAAACUUUUCUUUCUCGUUAAUAAUUAAUUCAUAACUGACAACGAGCGAGAUCCGUGUUGUAAUAUCUGAUUGGGUGAGAAUAUCAUGACCCUCUAUCCUUUGGGUGUAACCGUUAACCGUAUUUUUCGAGGUCUUAGAACUUGUUCUUGGACCGGGGCGCGACGCUUUAUCACACUCGAUGGCGAGCACAUUGUUCACCCUUGCUUGAUCUUGAUACGAUGGGUCUCUAACCUCGAUUUCAGUCUUGUGUAUUCGUCCUUUUCUUCCAUUUUCUUAUCAGGGAAUUGGGGUAGACAUUACCCCCCAAUUUUACCCCGUAUAUAUAUAUAUAUAUAUAUAUAUAUAUAUAUAUAUAUAUAUAUAUAUAUAUAUAUAUAUAUAUAUAUAUAUAUAUAUAUAUAUAUAUAUAUAUAUAUAUAUAUAUAUAUAUAUAUAUAUAUAUAUAUAUAUAUAUAUAUAUAUAUAUAUAUAUAUAUAUAUAUAUAUAUAUAUAUAUAUAUAUAUAUAUAUACCGAAUUUCCUAUAUUUCACUACUAGAAAACUGCAUAAAAUCGUCAAAAAAAUACCGACCGAAAUCGGUUGAACAAUUGAAAAAUCGACCGAUUUUCGACUGACUUUAAACCAUCAAAAUUAGGCUUGUAGGUAAUAAAUUCCAACCAAAGUCGGUCAAAAUUCCGACCAAUUUUGGCCGGUAAAUUAAUUUCCACAAACGGCCCCAAAAGAAAAUAUUUACCCAAAAAACCGACCGAAAUCGGUUGGUAUUUUUAAUUAUACAAUUAAAAAAUGCACCGUUUGGGAAUCAAACCAAGGUCUAUACUGUGGCAGGAUACUAUUAUACCACUAAACCAUUGGUAUAUUUUAGUUUAAGACUUUUUUUUAAUUUAUUUGUACUCUUUAAUUAUAUUUCUGCACGAAAAUAACCGACCAAUUUUGGUUAGUUUUAUUAAAAAUAUAAAAUUUUUGAACCUAAAAAAUUGACUGACUGAAAUAACCGACUGAUUUGGUCGAUUCUUUUUUAAUAUUAAUUUAAAUUUAUUUUAUAUGAAAAACCGACCGAUUUCGGUCGAUUUCUUAAAAACUAAAUUUUGCGGAAUGCUAAAAUAAUUUUUCGCAUUUUUGCGCAAAAAGAAACUGACCGAAGUAAAUAGGUUUUGUAAAAAAAAAAUUAAAAUAAAAUAUUUUUAAAAAACGAUCGUCUUCGAUCGGUUUUUCGGUCAUUUUUUGACCGAUCAAAAUCGGUCGAUUUUGGCGCAAUUUCUAGAAGUGUUUGUUUAAUGUUUAAAAGAGAUAUUGAAACUGCACAUAUUCGAAAGUUUUUAAAAAAUGUUCAUUAAGGUGGUAUGUUUCCCAACUUUUUUGAAAGGCCAUGGCAUUAUUUUCGAUGAAAAAAAACAUAGAAAAAGGGUCUAGAAAUCAGAAAACCAUAAUUUUUGCUGGCCGUGGUAUUAAUUACACAGAAUAUCAUAGUUUCUGAUGGUUCAACCAUUGGACGUAUCCUUUUAGAACUCAUUCAUAUGUUUCCAAGGAAACGUCACUGAAACAAUCAAAACGAAAAAAAAGUUCCAAGGGUGUUCAUAUUCUUACUAAACCCUUGUAGUCUUUGUUUUGAAUAUCGAAAACAAGUGGACAUAAAGGUUUGUAGGAGGAUGAUAAAUUUUCAUAAAAUAUAGUACGUACGUAGUUCAUGAAACUAAAUUAGGUAAAGACUCUUUAUUUUCUUUUCUAAGUGUAAUUGUAAGAUCAAGAUUAGAAAUUUCCCAAGUCUCCUUUUAACAAAUAAAAGGUCAAGAAGGAAUACAAUAAAAAAACUUACCAAAUAUUUGACUUAGAGUUGGGCUGGAAUCAGAUUUAUUAACAACUUACUUGUCACGACCCUAAACCCAUACCCAGUCGUGAUGGCGCCUCAGGCCAGCCGACACACUUCCAAUUCAUUUUUAAGCAGUUAGAGAUAAUACAAUUAAGUCUUAAACAUAAUAAAUCUCCCAAAAAGAUAAGGUGAAACAGUACAAUUGCGGAAACAAAUACAUCACAGCCCGACAUCGGGGUGUCACCAGUCAUGAGCAUCUAUCGUAAAAACUACAAGUCUGAAAAGAGUCUACACAUCUAUUACAUAACUAGAACAGAGGAAAAUAAGAUAGAGGGAAAAGUAUUGGGCUGCGAAUCGCCGGGCAACUACCUAGUGAAUCUCCGAAAAUCUGCUGGACAUCUCUCAACCCUUGCAAGUAGGACCUGAUGCGCCUGAAUCUAUACACGGGGUGCAGGGAGUAAAGUGAGUACUCCAACUCAGUGAGUAAUAAUAUUAAAUGCAGACUGAGUAAUAAGAUACCACAUAAAGGCACAACAACAAACUAUAAAGAAGCAGUAAAAGCCAGUAAAAGGUAAAGUCACAUUAGUUCAGUUAAAACGUAUUUGGAAUGUCUUUUAACGGUUAAGCAAGUAAAUGACAUGCAAUUAGGAAAGGUAAACACAUAAAGAACCGCCCUUGGGCACAAUACCAUAGAAAUAGCCCCUCAGGCAACACAUGGAACAAUACCAGCCCCUCGGGUUAUAUCUCACAUCACAAUGGGUACCCGCGCUCACUGGGGGUGUGCAAACUCUUGGAGGGGCCCCUUACGGCUCAAGCGCAAUAUCAAGCUAUAUCGUGGCAUAAUCACAUAGGUUCUCAGCGUCAUAUCAACAAGCCACCUCGUGGCGUACAAAUCUUAGGCCCUUGGCCUCAUAAUCAUAAACAGUAUUUCCUCACAACAUAGGCCCUCGGCCUUACUCAGUCAGAAUCUCACAAGCCACUCGGACAACAGUAAAACAUGAUGCUCAGCCCAAAUAUCUUUUAAAAUAUCAUUUUAAGUGUUAAAGCAGGGUAAACAUGGCUGAGUUAGGAAGUUAACCCCAAAAUCGCGGACAAGAUGACUAUUUAAACAUUUUGCCCAGGCCUCAUUUCCUUCUUCGCGAACGCGGUCAAUGCCUUCCGUUCGCGAAGCACAAUCUAACUUUGACCAAAUUUUAAUCUUACGUGAACGCGACCAGUCCCUCGCGAACGCGAUGGUUCCUCAGCCCGACCAUCGCGAACGCGCACCCCUUCUCGCGAACGCGAUGAACAAAUUAACCUCAAACCCAGCUGCUCAACUUCCUCUACGCGAACGCGGAGCCUCCCUCGCGAACGCGAUGCACAACGACCCCAGCCCUUCGCGAACGCGGAGCCUUCCUCACGAACGCAAAGGCUAAAAUCUCAGCCUCACCAGCUAACCCUUCGCGAACGCGAAGGUCAUUUCUCUGCAACACUGAACAACAGUUUUCUGCACAUUUCCAAAACAUGAAAUGGUCUGAUUGACCACCUGAAACUCACCCGAGGCCCUCGAGACCUCAACCAAACAUGCCACCAUAUCCCAUAACACCAUUCAAACUUGUUCCAACCAUCGAAAUGCUCAAAAAACAUUAAAACACCAAAUUUGCAUCGCAUUCAAGCCUAAGAAUUCCAAAAUCUUCUAAAUUACGCUUUCGAUCAAAAACCCAACCAAACCAUGUCCGAAUGACCUAAAAUUUUGCACACACAUCCCAAAUGACACAUCGGAACUACUAAAACUCCCAUAAUUCCAUCCCAACCCUUAUAUCAAAAUCUCGCCUUUCAACAGGAAAACGCCAAAAAUCCAAUUUUGCCAAUUCAAGCCUAAAUCUACUCUGGACCUCCAAAACACAUUCCGAUCACGCUUCUAAGUCCCAAAUUACCUCCCGAAACUAUCCGAACCAUUGGAACACACAUCCGAUCCCUCUAACACAUAAGUUAACAUCCAGUUGACCUUUCCAACUUAAGCUUCCUCAAAAGAGACUAAAUGUCUCAAACCUUCUCAAAACCCUUCCGAACCCGAGCAAACUAACCCGAUCACAUAUAGAACUGAUAGACAAAGCAAUAAGAAGCAUAAAUGGGGAAAAUGGAGUGGUAACUCAUGAGACACUGACUGAGUCGUCAUAUCCUCCCCCUCUUAAACAAACGUUCAUCCUCGAACGAGUUAAGAAACAUAUCUGAAGUCUCAAAUAGGUAAGGAUAUCUGCUACGCAUCUCCCGCUCGGUCUCCCAGGUAGCCUCCUUCACGGGCCGACCUCUCCACUGCACUUUCACUAAAGCUAUAUCCUUUGAUCUCAACUUUCCAACUUGACGACCCAAAAUAGCUACUGGCUCCACGUCAUAAGUCAAAUCACCAUCCAACUGAACCGUGUUGAAAUCCAAAACAUGAGACGGAUCCCCAAUAUACUUCCGAAGCAUAAAAACAUAAAAUAUCGGAUGCACACUCGACAAGCUAGGUGGCAAAGCAAGCUCAUAAGCCACCUCCCCAAUACUCCGAAGUACCUCAAAAGGCCCAAUGAACCGAGGACUCAAUUUACCCUUCUUCUCAAAUCUCAUAACACCCUUCAUGGGCGAAACAUUUAACAGAACCUUCUCACCAACCAUGUAGGACACAUCCCGAACCUUCCUGUCAGCAUAACUCUUUUGUCUCGAUUGCACUGUACGAAACCUCUCCUGAAUUACCUUCACCUUUUCUAAAGCAUCUUGCACCAAGUCUAUCCCCAAUAGCCUAGUCUCACCCGGCACAAACCAACCAACUGGAGAUCUACGCCGCCUCCCAUACAAAGCCUCAUAUGGGGCCAUCUAAAUACUCGACUAGUAGUUGUUGUUAUAAGCAAACUCUGCAAGUGAUAGAAAUUGAUCCCACGAGCCUCCGAAAUCAAUGACACAAGCACGCAACAUAUACUCCAAUAUUUGAACAGUGCGCUCGGACUGUCCGUCUAUCUGAGGGUGAAAAGCUAUGCUAACUCAACCUGAGUACCCAACUCCCGCUGCACAAACCUCCAAAACUGCAAAGUAAACUAAGUGCCCCUAUCUAAAAUGAUGGAAACUAGGACACCAUGCAAACGAACAAUCUCCCGGAUAUAGAUCUCUGCCAACCACUCAGAAGAAUAGGUAAUACACACAGGAAUGAAGUAUGCGGACUUGGUCAGCCGAUCCACAAUCACCCAAAUAGCAUCAAACUUUCUCAAAGUCCGUGGGAGCCCAACUACAAAGUCCAUGGUGAUCCGCUCCCACUUCCACUCUGGAAUAUCCAUCCUUUGAAGCAAGCCACUCGAUUUCUGAUGCUCAUAUUUCACUUGCUGACAAUUGAGACAUCAAGCCACAAAUCCCACAAUGUCUUUCUUCAUUAUUCUCCACCAAUAAUGUUGUCUUAGAUCCUGAUACAUCUUCGCGGCACCCGGAUGAAUGGAAUACAGCGAGCAAUGGGCCUCCUCCAGAAUCAACUCCUGAAGCCUAUCCACAUUGGGCACACAUAUUCGACCAUGCAUCCUCAACACCCCAUCAUCACCAAUGGUCACAUCUAUGGCAUCAUCGUGCUGAACUCUGUCCUUAAGGACAAGCAACUCUCUGAUGCGAUCGUAUAAGGAAGACCGAGAAAUCACACUAGCCAAUACCCGACUGGGUCCAAAAUAUCUAACCUCAUGAACUGAUUGGCCAUGGCCUGAACAUCAACUGCAAGUGGUCUCUCCCUAACUGGAAUAUAUACCAAACUCCCCAUAAUCACCGCCUUUCGGUUCAAAGCAUCGGCUACCACAUUGGCCUUUCCCGGAUGGUACAACAUAGUGAUAUCAUAAUCCUUUAGAAACUCUAACCACCUCCGCUGCCUCAAAUUGAGAUCCUUCUUCUUGAACAAGUGCCGGAGGCUACGAUGGACACACCAUACAAAUAAUGCCUCCAAAUCUUCAACGCAUAAACAAUGGCAGCCAACUCCAAAUCAUGAACGGGGUAGUUCUUCUCAUGGGGCUUCAACUGACGAGAAACAUAAGCAAUAACUCUACCCUCCUACAUCAAUACACGCCCAAUACCAACUCUAGAAGCAUCACAAUACACGAUAUAUAAACCUGAAGCUGAUGGCAAAACUAACACUGGAGCUGUGGUCAAGGCUGUCUUGAGCUUCUGAAAGCUCUCCUCACACUCAUUAGACCAUACAAAUGAAGCACCCUUCUGAGUCAACUUGGUCAAAAGCGAUGCAAUAGAUGAGAAUACUUGAACAACCCGGCUAUAAUAGCCCACCAAACCAAGAAAGUUGCGAAUCUCUGUGGCUGAGGACGGUCUGGGCCAACUUUUAAUUGCCUCUAUCUUCUUCAGAUCAACUUGAAUACCCUCGCUGGAUACCGUGUGCCCCAAGAAAGCCACUGAACUGAGCCAAAACUCACACUUGGAGAACUUUGCAUGAAGCUUCUCCUCCCUCAAUCUCUGCAACACAACUCUCAAAUGCUCAGUGUGCUCCUCCUAACUAUGCGAAUAUACCAGAAUAUCAUCAAUGAAGACUAUGACAAACGAGUCAAGAUAAGGCCGGAACACGCUGUUCAUCAAAUGCAUGAACACUACUGGGGCAUUGGUCAGCCUAAAAGACAUCACCAAGAACUCAUAAUGACCAUAUCAGGUGCUGAAAGCUGUCUUAAGAAUAUCUAAGUCACUGAUCUUCAACUGGUGAUAACCCGAACAGAGAUCAAUCUUGGAGAACACUCUAGCCCCCUGAAACUGGUCGAAUAAAUUUUCAAUGCAAGGCAACGGAUACUUGUUCUUUACUGUUACUUUGUUCAACUACCUAUAAUCAAUGCACAUCCUCAUAGUGCCAUCCUUCUUCUUCACAAAUAGAACUGGCGCACCGCAAGAUGAAACACUAGGCCGAAUGAACCCCUUAUCAAGGAGUUCCUGAAGCUGCUCCUUUAACUCAUUCAACUCCGCUGGUGCCAUACGAUACGACGGAAUAGAAAUGGGCUGAGUGCCCAACACUAGGUCAAUGCCAAAGUCAAUAUCCCUGUCCCGUGGCAUGCCCGGAAGGUCUGCAGGAAUCGAGAAAAUCCCUCAUAACUGGAACAGAAUCAAUACUGGGAGUCUCUGUACCGACAUCCCUCACAAAGGCUAGAUAUGAAAGACAACCUUUCCCAACCAUACACUAGGCCUUCAAGAAUGAGAUUACUCUACUGGGCACAUAAUCAGUCAACCCCCGCAGCUCAAUUUGUCGUACAUCUGGUAUAGCCAAUAUGACUAUCUUGGCAUGACAGUCCAGAAUAGCACGACACAGAGAUAGCCAAUCCUUACCCAAAAUGACAUCAAAAUCCACCAUACAUAAUAGUAAAAGAUCCACUCGGGUCUCCAGACCCCUAAUAGUCACCACACGCGAUCGGUACACACGGUCUACAACUAACAGUAUCGGCCCACCGGGGUAGAUACAUGAAUAGGUGAAACAAGAGNNNNNNNNNNNNNNNNNNNNNNNNNCACCACACGCGAUCGGUACACACGGUCUACAACAACAGUAUCGCCCACCGGGGUAGAUACAUGAAUAGGUGAAACAAGAGACUCACGGGGCGUAUCCAAAUGACAAAAAAAGUAUGAUGACACAUAAGAAAAGGUGGAACCGGGAUCAAAUAAUAUAAAAGCAUCUCUAUGCAAGACUAAGACAAUACCUUUAAUAACAGCAUCAAAAGCAAUAACAUCGGGUCUAGCUGGAAGUCCAUAGAAAUGGGCCUGACCGCCACCUGAUCGACCUCCCCUUCUAGGGUGACCCCUAGCUGACUGACCUCCACCCCUUGCUGGCUGGGCAGGUGGUGGUGAAGUAACUGGUGCUAAAGUCGAUGGCUGGCUCCUCUACUAAGAUGAACCUGCAAGACGAUGAGGACACUUCCUCCAUAUAUGACCCAUCUCUCCACACUCAUAGCAACUCUCAGGUACUGGAGAAAGGGACUGAAGGGAACUCCUAGCACCGGAAUGAUUAGCAGAUGUGCCCGACAUAGAAUAGCCCUGAACUGAUGGAGCACGGGAUGACCUCUAAGCUGGAAGGGCACUAAGUGAUGACUGGCCCUGAUGAGAACUAUGAUAACCAUGACCCGAUGAUGCCCUACGAUACCCUGGGCUAGCUGGCUGAGCAUGCCUGAAAGGACGGCCCCUGCUGUGCUAAAACUGACCUCUCGAAGGAGCACCGCCAUAACUACCAGAUCCUCUUGGCCUCUUGGCCUCUUGGCCUCCCUCUCCUCUCGCUCCUGGUGUCGAACAAACUCAAUCUCACGAGCAAUGUCUACAACCUCCUCAAAAGUAUCACCAGUCACCCUCUCUCUGGUCAUAAGAAUACAAAGCUGAUAAGUGAGGCCAUCAACAAACCUCCUGAUCCUCUCUCUAUCUAUCGAAACCAACCAAAUCGCAUGGCGAGCUAACUUAGAGAACCUCAUCUCAUACUGCAUCACAGUCAUCUCUCCCUGAUGCAACCACUCAAACUACCUGCUCAGCUCAUCUCUGCGAGAUUGCGACACAUACUUCUCCAAAAAGAGAACGGAGAACUGCUACCAGGCAAAGGAUGUUGCACCAACAGCUGUAACCGGCUGGGCUGGAUGCACCCUCGGUGUCUGGAGUCCCUGCACGACCUGCUCAGGUAUGCAAACGGCGGGAGUCUGAGUGCCUCCCCAACCUGAGAAGUAGUUGCAGCUAUAGUAGCUGAGACCGCCUGAGAUAGGCCAGUGCAAACUGAUAGAAUCUGAGCCAAGGCCUCCUGAAGACCCGGAAUCACAAUAGGCACAGCUGGUGCCUGAGCUGAUGCUGAUGGACCGUCCACAGCUGGGACCUGAUCUUGAACUGGGGCGGCUGGUGGAUCUGCAGGUGCUGCCCUAGCUGUUGUGCGGGCCACACCCCUGCCCAUACCGCGACCACGACCACGACUGUGUCCUCAACCUCUAGUGUCCACAGCUAGUGGUACUGGCGGUCGUCCAUCCUGACCGGUAGCGCGUGUCCUCACCAUCCGUGAGAGAGUAGAAUAAUAGAAGUUUAGUACUUGGAUCAACAAAUUCGCACGACAAGAAUUUCAAUAAUAUGAAAUUUUUUUCCUAAAAGUUCUGCAGCCUCUCGAGGAUAAGUAUAGAUAUCUCCGUACCGAUUAGCGAGACUCUACUAAACCUUCUCAUGACUCGUGAGACCUAUGUAACCUAGGAUCUAAUACCAACUUGUCAUGACCCUAAACCUAGACCCGGUCGUGAUGGUGCCUCUCGUGAAGACAAGGCCAGCCGACACACUUCCAAUUCAUUUUUAAGUAGUUAAGAUAAUACAAUUAAGUCUUAAACAUAAUAAUCUCCAAAAAAGAUAAGGUAAAACAAUACAAUUGAGGAAAAUAAGUACAACACAGCUCGACAUCGGGGUGUCACCAGUCAUGAGCAUCUAUUGUAAAAACUACAAAUCUGAAAAGAGUCUACAUACCUAUUACAUAAUUAGAACAGAGGAAAAUAACAUAGAGGGAGAAGCACUGGGCUGCGAAUCGCCAGACAGCUACCUAGUGAAUCUCCGGAAAUCUGUUGGACAUCUCUCAACCCUCGCAAGUAGGACCUGAUGCGCCUGAAUUUGCACACGGAGUGCAGGGAGUAAAGUGAGUACUCCAACUCAGUGAGUAAUAAUAAUAAAUGCAGACUGAGUAAUAAGAAGCCAUGUAAAGGCACAACAACAGACUAUAAAGAAGCAGUAAAAGCCAAUAAAAGUAAUAAAACAGUGAAAAAUAGGUAAAGUCACUUUAGUUCAGUUAAAAAUUAUUUGGAAUGCCUUUUAACAGUUAAGCAAGUAAAUGACAGGCAAUUAGGAAAGGUAAACACAUAAAGAACCUCCCCUCGGGCACAAUACCAUAGAAUCAGCCCCUCAGGCAACACAUGGAACAAUACCAGCCCCUCGGGCUAUAUCUCACAUCACAAUGGGUACCCGCGCUCACUGGGGGUGUGCAGACUCCUGGAGGGUCCCCUUACAGCCCAAGUGCAAUAUCAAGCCAUCUCAUGGCAUAAUCACAUAGGGUCUUGGCCUCAUAUCAACAAGCCACCCUGUGGUGUACAAAUCUCAGGCCUUCAGCCUUAUAAUCAUAAUCAAUGUUUCCUCACAACAUAGACCCUCGGCCUUACUCAGUCAGAAUCUCACAAGCCACUCGGGCAACAGUAAAACAUGAUGCUCAGCCCAAAUAUCUUUUAAAAUAUCAUUUUAAGUGUUAAAGCAGGGUAAACAUGGCUGAGUUAUGAAGACAGUAGAAUAUAGCAUGACUGAGUACAAGUAUAAAGUCAAAAUAGUGAGGAAAAUAUCAGUAUAAAUACCCUAAGGGUUCAAAUAGUUGGCACGAGGCUCAAGUAUGGCAUUCAGCCAAAACAUGAUGAUAGCAAAUAGAUUUCAGUCAAAUAUGCAGUAAAAUAAUCAUUCGGGAUGGACUAAGUCACAAUCCCCAACAGUGCACGACCUCACGCUCGUCAUCUAGCAUGUGCUACACCUCAAUAUAGCACAAUAAUGUGCAAAUCCGGAGUUUCAUACCCUCAGGACAACAUUUACAAUCACUACUCACCUCUACCCGGUCCAAAUCUCUAGCUCGCGAUGCCUUUGCCCCUAGAAUCGGCCUUUGGAUGCUCUAAAUCUAACCAAAAUCAGUGUAAAACCAUCAAAAUAUGCUAAGGAAACAAAGCCCACUCAAAAGAAAUCAAAUUACAACAAAAAUCCCGAAAUUGGCCAAACCCGAUCCCCGGGCCCAUGUCUCGGAUUCCGAUUAAAAUUACAUCAAUGGACUCCUUAUCACUCCCCGAGUUCAUUCAUACCAAAAGCAUCAAAAUCCAACCACAAACGACCCCUCAAAUCGCAAAUUCUAGGUCUCCAAUUACAAGCCCUAGUAAUUAAUUAGGUAGAAUUCACAUUAGAAUCGAGUAUUAAGUCCAUAGAUCUUACCUCCAAGUAUUUUCCCUUGAAUCCCUCUUCAAUCCUCUUCAAAGAGCUCCAAAUCGCUCAAAAAUGGUGGAAGUUAACCCCAAAAUCGCGGACAAGAUGACUAUUUAAACAUUCUGCCGAGGCCUCAAUUCCUUCUUCGCGAAUGCGGUCAAUGCCUCGCGUUCGUGAAGCACAAUCUAACUUUGACCAAAUUUUACUCUUACGUGAACGCGACCAGUCCCUCGCGAACGUGAUGGUUCCUCAACCUGACCUUUGCGAACGCGCUCCCCUUCUCGCGAAUGCGAUGAAUAAAUCAACCUCAAACCCAGCUGCCCAACUUACUCUACGCGAACGUGGAGCCUCCCUCGCGAAUGCGGAGCCUUCUUCGCGAAUGCGAAGGCUAAAAUCUCAUCCUCACCAGCUAACUCUUUGCGAACUCGAGGGCCUACUCGCGAACGCGAAGGUCAUUUCUCUGCAACACUAAACAACAGUUUUCUGCACAUUUUCAAAACAUGAAAUGGUUCGAUUGACCACCCGAAACUCACCCGAGGCCCCCGAGACCUCAACCAAACAUGUCAACAUAUCACAUAAGAUCAUUCAAACUUGUUCCAACCUUCGGAAUGCUCAAAACACCAAAUUCGAAUCGGAUUCAAGCCUAAGAAUUCCAAAAUCUUCUAAAUUACGCUUUUGAUCAAAAACCCAACCCAACCACGUCCGAAUGACCUGAAAUUUUGCACACACAUCCCAAAUGACACAACGGAACUACUGAAACUCCCGAAAUUCCAUUCUGACCACUAUAUCAAAAUCUCGCCUAUCAACCGGAAAACGCCAAAAAUCCAAUUUCGCCAAUUCAAGCCUAAAUCUACUCUGGACCUUCAAAACACAUUCUGAUCACGCUCCUAAGUCCAAAAUUACCUCCCGAAGCUAUCCGAACCAUCAGACUCACAUCCGAGCCCUCUAACACAUAAGUCAACAUACAGUUGAUCUUUCCAACUUAAGCUUCCUCAAAAGAGACUAAGUGUCUCAAACCUUCUCAAAACCCUUCCGAACCCUAGCCAACCAACUCGAUCACAGGACUGGCCGGAUCGUCACAUCACUAUUGCUAGAGAAAGAAUACAAUCAAUAACUGACCAAAUAUUCAUCAUAUCGUUGGAAGGGAAUCAGAUUUUACUAAUAAUACCUUAUUAUAUAUUUUAGAAUUUACAACAAAUAGACUUUGAUAUUUGUAGUAAAAUUGGGAGUAAUCAGAUUUUCUCUUUUGAAUUUAGAUUUUAUUUUAGCAAAGUUUGUAACAACUUUUGACCAUAGAGCCUCAUGUCCCUCCUAUAUAUAGUAAUAUACUUUAUCAAUCACCAUCAUUCUCAGUACCACUCAGUCUAUCUGCAGAGAUGAUGAGGGCUACCAACACUAAAGAGGACGACGACGACGAUGACGAUGAUGGAAUCCAAUUCUAGCAUGAAUCCUCUUCAUGUAUUCUUCGACAUUGAAUCAAUGAGUCACCAUGUUUGUAAGUAAUUCCUCUCUUCGUUUAUGCUUUCAUUCUAUUCUUUGAUGUGUCAAUCUGCCUUUUUCCUUUAUAAAAUUCACGUAAAAAAUAAAAGACGUGGAGUCUAAUAAAUUAUAUCUAAUGACUUGUUAUUUUUGCUGUGUGCAUGUUUUGUGGUUUUACUGCAAAAAGAAAAGACGGAAGGUCUGAUUCACAUGGAAAGAAAACACUAACUCGUUUGUCUUCCUUUCCUCCGAUGGCAACCUUGAGCUAUCUCGUCUCUUGUUGCAAGAUCAAUCAAUUGCAUGCCAGCCGUAUUUAUCCUUUAAAGUACGAUCAGAAUUAUCUAGGAGGUUCAUCAACAGGUAAUUAAGCAACAAUGAAUUGUUAGUUAUUUUUUUGAGUCCAUAUCUAUCUAUAUAUAUAUAUAGACUCUCUAAAUUCUGGCCCUCUUUUAUUCAUGACUUCAUCUCAGGUCUUCCACGAGCUUUUUGGAUGACCAAUCACAAGUUUGGAUACCUGCAAAUCUCCCGGAGAUGAACAAGUUUAUAGCUAAAUCCUGAGCCUUCUUUGGGAGGAAGCAUGAAAACUUCAAAGUAAUCACGGUUUCCAGUAGCAACCUUUAAUGUGGGAGAUAUGAGAAUAAUUUAACAAAAUAAUAAGUAGAAUAUGCCUUGCAUAAUGAUUUAGAUUUAGACAAUCAGAAGGAACUAAUUUGCAUAAGAGAGGACUUUUUUCUGGCCAUUAGCUUCAUUGUAUAAAAUGUAAACUGGUAUUGUAAUACGAAUUUCCAUUUAUUGUCUCGAUUAUUUAAAGUAAAUUCCCACAUUUGUAGCUUCAUCUUUUAUUUGAUAGUUUACCAUCUAAAGAGCCAUUUACUUUAGACUUUUUGUGUUUGCACCUACAUUACCUAUUAAAUCAUAUAUUUAAGCAGAUGAUCCUCCAUACAGGAAUGGAAUAAGUGAACGUAUCAAAUGAUAAAAGGAUAGAUUUACUACUGAGACAGAAGCUCACAUACAAGGAUCUGAAUUUUUUCCUUUUAGUUUAAAACUUACUCCUAUAUAUGUUUAACAAAAUAUUAUUUUUGCUAUAACGUUAUCGACUCCUGUAUAUAUGCCAUGAGAUCAUGGGGAAAUUUUGAUUUGAUGUUUGGGAGUUGGAGGGGGAAAUUUGGGACAUCCUUGCUCACAAAGUUGCAUUGUAUAAUAGCAAUCAGUUCUGCCCAAGAUUAAACAGCAAUAGCAAGGUCUGCCAGUUUUACAGUGAGCAACAUGCUUGCAAAAGUCUAGUUGUAUUUUCUCCUCUUUUGUAGCUUUCAGUUUUCGGUCAAAUUCUCCAACAUAAAGUUUGUUGCCCUCUAUGUUUUCCCAACCUGUUUGAAGAGAAAAUGGAAUAAAAGGACUUUAAGUGCCAGCAAAAGUAUGAGCAAUUUAAGUUCGCACAAGAUAAAAAAUAAUUUAUUUAUAGGAAAGAGAAAAGUAUAUUUGAUUAAUUAGGUAAUUAAAACAACAACAAAAAAAAAGGUACAUGUCACAAUUAAUUUAUGGUAAAUCUCACAAGUAGACCUUCAUACCAAAGAGGGUGGGAAUAAUGAGAAAGAACACAGCAAACUUAGUAGAAAAAUCCAUGAAUGAUCUUAGAUCCUGAUAAACAAGUAGACUGGUGUCGUGAAUUUAUUGAUUGAGGCAACUUGAGGGAUCAAAACU
rnacentral:lncRNA from 1 species